AUGCUUUAUCUGGCUAGUGAACUACCUACCUAUGUUAUUUAAACAUUUUUGCUGCCUAUAAAUUGGGCAUCAUUUCAGCAGACCACCACAGCACCUGAGCUUGCCAUCUUUUCCUGAUCUAUCUCACUCAUUUGUCAUGUAGCUACUAGCUAAGCCACCAUAUCAUCCAUGGCUUCCGGUGCCUCCACCACGUUGAAGAUUGCCUCUAUCGCCGCUUGCAUCCUGCUGGUUCUGCUGUCCAAUGGCCACCCUACAGUGGCGACCGUUGAUUGUAUUGCGGCUUGCAAAGAGCCGUGCGAGAGCUUUUCUAAGGGAUUCUACGCGGGUGGAGCCACCAGCGGUUGUGCGACUAAGGCAGCAGCUACAGCAUGCCGCAAUUCGGUGUUCUCGUAGUGUGCGAACAACUGCUACACAGUUUGCACCGCCAGGACCAUCGCGCCUUGCGCUUGAAGAUGCAUUUGUGUUCCUACUUCCACGUUAUUGUUACUGGUGAGUGUGUGCAAGCAGGCCUGCCGUCCACGGGAGGAGGCACGCAAGCCCGCAUGAUAAGCCACUGUCGUUUUUCCACUUUAUCAUUUACUUAUUGAAGGCAAUGUACGUGCCUAGCUCCUGUGUCGUUGAGCAUGUCAUCUUGGAAUUUUGUCCAAAGUUUAACAUACCAUGUUGUAUUGUUGUGUAUGGGUAUCAAUAUAAUUUAUCAACUAUUUUUCGUUUACCAUAGACAUUUCUAUGUUUAUUUGCAAGGGUUAGGGAAAUUUGCCCUUGAUAGUGUAUUAACCGCAUCUGCCAACUGAACAGAUCAACUUUCUCAACAGCCUAUCUCCUACUUGAAAAAUAUUCGCUUUAGAAAUGGUUUAUUUCUUUUCUGUGUAGCUGUAGCACCCAUCACCGUGAGGGUUACAAAACUCGGCGCAAGGGUUCCAAGCGGUGGCGCCACAAACCACAUAAGCUGUGGCGCAAGGGUUCUAGCUGGCUGGUCACAAACAACUAUUUCAUCCCGGAUGUCUUCCAUGCCCAUGGACCUGCCGCUUUCUUGAUCGAGUAAUCUAUGCCCAUGAAAGAGUUCGGUAUUUGUCUGAUCGAUGAAGACGAGGUAGCACAUUUAUGUGAAAGCAGUACUGGCGGACAUGAUGGUCGGUGGCUAUUGAUUAUCUUCCAACUCCUUUAUGGCAUUAUCCAGAAAUCAUUUGUAGGGGUGAAGUGUUUUUCUUUUGAGGGCGGACCAAAAGGUCAGCUGUCCCCCAGGGGUGGAGCUACAGUCAACCAUCGAUGAUUUGGUGGCGAGCUCUUAUAUCCUUCCCAGGAGAACUGCCCAUAUGUUGCUACGGAUAAAAAUAAUGUAUAUAAUUACAAUAAUCGUGAUUAGUUUUUUUCAAAUGUGUGACAUAUUAUCGAAUUUACAUAUCUUUCUAUGCAUUUUCCGAACAAAGAGAUAUUUUUAUAAUAAUUUUAUCAGAUUAACAUGAGACAUAAUCUUCUAUGGUAUAUUAUGUACUCUAGUAUCUAAAUCUUUUGUUUGUUUGUGUAGUCUUCUACAUUGCUCGCUUUUUAUAAUAAAAGUCGAGAGAGGUGGGCACCUGUGAACAACAAAAACCAAAAAAUGUACACAAUAAUCAAUAUAUUAUAAUUAUUAUUUUUUCCUAGAAUAAAAAUAUGGACUCAUCGAGCCCAUGAAAAGCGCAAGGAGGUGGCCCGGCAGCCCCAUCCAUCCAUCCAUUGUUAUCCACACUUGCUAAACAACUGAAUUAAAAAUAUACUUUUAUCCACACAAGAGACGGAUGAAUUGUUUGGCACUGCACUUUCUUGGACGUUGCUGUUGCUGGAAUCGGCAUUAGGAAGGCGUCGCUCGGCCGUGCAGAGGUGCCAUUGUGGCUUCGUGGAGGUGCCCCUACGUUGUGCCGGAGCGGAGGUGCAGGCAGCGUAAGCGGCCGGGUAGCACGCCACAACAUGCUGGAGACAGCGCCGAACCUCGAGCGUUCGAUUGGGGCUGCUUAUAGCGCCAACACUGCUCUGUAUCUUGCUCAGUGGAUGGGCGGACGACAGUGAGCGGCGCCUAGGAGAACUGCAAAUGCUCCUGCACACAUGCCCCAUGGGCCGGAACUGCACACUAACCCCCGCGAACGAUGGUAGUAGGGCAACAAAGCUGGCCAUGGCGCUGCUCGUUGAGCUUUCCGUGUGCGCGAACAGGCAUUUGAUAUGUUCCCUACAAAAUUAAAGGUUGUUUGAUUCAACGGUCAAAUAGUGCGAGCAUGUUAAUUGAUGCGAGUGUAUUGUGGGAACUGCAAAAGAACUGCAGGGCAUCGAGGAAGCAGUGUUGUUGCUCGGAAGUACCAGCACUGACGCGCUUUCCGUUGUGUCUCCAGCGGGGGUGGCUGCGUCUGCCCGCUCGGCAGCAGUUUCACCCUAUUCUGGGCAUCUCCCCACGCGUCUUGGCCAUCGUUACCUCUGGCAUCGUUAAGGUAUGGCUUCCUUUCAGCCUCGGCCGUUUCUUUCUCCAAUGCGCGAGUGCCAGGGUGAGCUCUGGCAGCAUGCUGCCUCCCACGGCAAUCUUGCCCAGGGCAAUCAGGUUGUAGUGCCUUGCGGCGGCUUCAAGCGUGUCGAUCGGUAGCAGGCACUCCGAGCUCUCCUUGUGCAUUUGGGGCACCUUCGCUCACGCCACCACUGUGAGGCCUGCCAGGUGUGCCACUUCAUUGUUCACAUGGUUACAAAGGCGGUGGCGCGGAAGUGUGGUGGCACGGACGAGGAAGAAAAAAUGACAGACCACGAUGAACGCAUUAAUUUAGUGCUCCGGGCAGAUUAAGAAAAAGAUUAGGGACUUUUAUACAAAACAUGCUUGACGGUUGGAAAAAACAUAUGUCACUUUAGUAUUAGGCAAGGAUGUGAUUAUAUGAUUAUAUGGACUGAUACCGGUUAAAAGAUCAUUAUCUAAUCAACCAUUCACGUCGCCCAUAGUGUAGGAAACAGGCCAUUCUAUUGCAAUCCUCUGUCGCCUAUCGCUUCCCUUGAGAAUUUGAAGUCAGAAAUUCUUUUGUUUCAAUUUUGCUAGGUCCACUAGUUUUCUUAAAUCAGAAUCAAGUUGAAACCAGAAGAGCCUUGUUAGCUUGUUUGAUCUAUACUUCUUUGUAGCAAAUGUAAAAUGACAACUCAUCUAAUGGUUGUUUCAUAUUCGAUCUGCAAGUCUUCUUCUCAUUCACACGAUGGAUGGCCAUAGGCACAAAGAGAAUCGAAGUAGUAGACGAUAAUCACUAUAGUAAAAGCUUAAAAUCUCAAAAUAUGUCAUCAUUUAUUUUUCAUUAUGUUAUCCAUAGAACUAUAGUAUGAGUUAGAAUAUUGCAUGGACAUCAGCUACAACAUUUCCUAGCUUCGCCUUCUCCGCCCCUGCAGCAGCUAGCCCAAUCCAGGAAAUGUAUUUCCCAUGUGGGGGUGAGCAGACCCUGGAAAUAAGCUGGGGGACGGACGACCAGCACGUCAACCGUCUCUGAAAAUAGCCAUCUAUAGGAGCCCAUUUCAGAGGUGGGCAACUCCAUGGUCCGUCCUAGCAGAUUGAAUUACAGGAGCAGAUGACGCGAAGCAUCACCCUGCUGCUCAACGAAAUUUUGUAAGGACAACGCGCGAAUGAAAAGGCAAGCGAAAAGCAUAAGGUCCAUUCUGCUCCGCACAUAUAUCUUAUCUCAACCACAGCUUUCCAUGUCAUCUCCUUAGAGAAACUCCGACAGAUUGAUUUUCCACAUUCCCCUUUAUCCUCUUAUAGGGCAUUCCCUUUCACGAUUUCUGAAUUUUGAAGACUAGUGGGGCAAGAAAUUUUGUAUAGUAACAAAGAUAAUCUCAGCCCCACUUGCUACACAUACAUGCACGGUAAAUAGAAAGGGUUAUUUUCUAUGUCAAAGGCAUGCUCAGCUUCAAAGUCGUUCUGUUGUUAGCAUCGUUGUGUUGUUUCUGAUAACGUGCAGGAGGAAGCGAAAACACAGAGUAGAAAGAGGAUGAGAAAUUAAAGAAGACAAUGAAGCUCACGUUCACGUCUACAUGAGGGAGCUCUCACACAAGCAAGUCCAUUCAUCCUCUGUCUCCAUGCUGUUGAUGAUGACAUGUCACAUGUCCUUUGCCUUGACGUCGGCGGCAGGCCGGCAGCCCAAUGAACCCAUGACGAACAGCAUGAGCAUGACCAGCUAACUUCAUUGCUGAGUACGACAUGUGGUUAUCCUUGCUAUAACUAAUGUUGGUCAGAAGAAGAAGCUGCUAUAAAGUUGUUCUGAAGACGCUGAGUUGUAGGCGUACGCAAGCCCCGGUUGAUUGCCUGCGAAGUUUGGAGCUUUCGAUUCCAGGAUGGAGAUGUAAAUCUGUGAUAGACUCUCUUUAUAUCUCUUUAUGUGAUACUGUUACUGUUAUUCACUGAUGAUGUGACUAUAUGUAUGAAACUUGAUCAUGUCAUACAUACAGUUAGCACUUGGUUUUGCUGUUCUAAAAUCAGGUGUGACACCUAUGAACCCAUGACGAACAGCAUGAGCGUAACCAGCUAACUUCAUUGCUGCUGCCUUUCGUAGAUGUUGGUGAACAUGACGUGUCUUUCAUCUCCACGAUGGCGACGGAUCCAAAGAUCGAAGAACAUGCAUCAACGCGAUCCGUAUGGCGUGUUUUCUGGUAUUUCCACCCCAUGAUGUAACGCCGACCGGGUUCCAUACGAGGCCUACGGCCACUCUGUUCACUUUCAUCAUGUGCUCCGAUGAGAGUUCAUCACCGUGAUAAAAGACGGAGACGAGGGCACACAGUCGUAGCUGCAAGUAAGGCCAACAGGCUCAAGGCCAUCGCUUUACAGCCAGCAGUCUUGCCUUGCAUGCACUCACGGACUAUUACCGGACUAGCAAUUGGUACUUUGACGCACUACAUGGACCCUUACAAAAUUAAAAAAAUGAACGUCAACAAGCAAAUGAAACUGCAUGAACUGAAGUAGGGAAAUGAAGACCACGUACAGUUCUUAUUGAAGCUGAAAUGUAUGUCAUAAAAGUAUUAUUGUUAGAUUGAAGUCAAUUUAAAUAUUUAAACGAGUAACGAGGGCUCGGAUUAGUAGAAGGUGUUAGUGAGGCCCUCCAAUAGACCACUCAAUGAUUUUUAGAUCCAACUGUUUAUAUAGUAAGUUCGGAUAUUUAAUUAAUAAAUUGAAGUUGCCUUAAGAUAUGCAUAGUAAAUCACAAGACCAAAGUGGAAUAACCAUUAGACAACUAAUAAAACCAUCAUUAAGUUUUUGUCUAAUUUUAGCAAUAUUGCUUAGGUUUUCUAUUUCGUCUAAAUAUAUCUUAAGCGGCUCAUAUGUCCGAAUUACCCACACAGUGAAUAAAUGUCGUUCCAGUUCAAGGAUUCAUGUGCAGUUGUCACACACUAGUGUGAACCCAUCAAGUGUGUGUCUUGCUUCCCUUUUCAAUCAACAAGCUACCUCCCUGAUUUGAAUAUAAUAAACUUAAAUGCUUCAGUUUCUAUGGUCCAUUGUUAUGUGAUGGACAUGAAAAAUGAAAAAUAUAGCCUACAAUGUUCAAAAUGCAUCUGAAGUACUAGGGUAUAAAAUAAGCUCACUGCCAUCCAAGUACAAGGGUUAACAACUAGAAAUAUAACCUUUAUUGCUAUCUGUAAACAAAAUAUGCCUGUUGAAUUACAUGUCGGGAAAGGUGAAUGCACGGAUUCACGGCUAGUAUUAGCUAAUUUUGUUGUCUUUUUUUGUUAAUAACUAGGUUUCCAAUGCCAAACUCUGCGUAAGGGUUCAGCAACUGGCUACAUAUUGGAAAGGAGUUACUGUUGGUGGCUAGCCCUCAUAAGAGAUAACUAUUUCAUCCCUGAUGCCUUCCAUGCCUAUGGAUGUACCGCGUGCUCGAGUAAGUUAUGCUUGCAGAUGGAUCUUAAACCUGAUGUCAAAUUGUGGAUAAUUGAAAGAGUUUGCUGUUUGUCUGCUUUAGGGAAGAUGGGUAGCACGUUUAUAUGCCAUUAAUUCUCAUGAAAGAGUGCAUAUACCAUGUUUGUCGCAGCAAGAUGAGGCUGUAGAGUAGUAGACGUGUAGAACAAUGGUACAGGUUGUAUGAAUAAUUUAUUGAAGGGAAUCAUAGACGCCACAGCCACUGAAGCUGUUGGGGCAUGAUUAGCCAAUGGUCUAAUUCCUGAUAUCUCCGUAUCCUAAUUUUCUGAAGCCUUACGGACUCUACCCUCCUCACUUCAUAUAUAUUAGUGUUUAUAAUAGCGGUUUUAUAAGAAGUGCUGAAGGUAUUGGUCCUGCUAUAUCUUGCUUCCACUACCGGAUUUGUGUACGAAAUAUUAAUUCUUGAGAUUUGUCAAUGAUUUUAGGACGCAAUGAUACCUUCAACUACCGGAUUGUAUAUAUAAGUUAGUCUUAGCCAGUUAUAUAUCAGAGGAGGAAGCACGCAUUAAAUAAUAAAUAACUCAUGUUGAUUCAAUUGGCAACCUGGCCUCUAAAAAGAAAAGGACUCUGUUCUCAAAAAAUGAAAAAAAGUAGCCUGCUAAUAACAAUGUCGACACUUUACAUCUGAGCAGCUAGCUCCGUGAUGCUUUAUCUGGCUAGUGAACUACCUACCUAUGUUAUUUAAACAUUUUUGCUGCCUAUAAAUUGGGCAUCAUUUCAGCGGACCACCACAGCACCUGAGCUUGCCAUCUUUUCCUGUUCUAUCUCACUCAUUUGUCCUGUAGCUACUAGCUAAGCCACCAUAUCAUCCAUGGCUUCCGGUGCCUCCACCACGUUGAAGAUUGCCUCUAUCGCCGCUUGCAUCCUGCUGGUUCUGCUGUCCAAUGGCCACCCUACAGUGGCGACCGUUGAUUGUACUGCGGCUUGCAAAGAGCCGUGCGAGAGCUUUUCUAAGGGAUUCUGCGCGGGUGGAGCCACCAGCGGUUGUGCGACUAAGGCAGCAGCUACAGCAUGCCGCAAUUCGGCGUUCUCGCAGUGUGCGAACAACUGCUACACAGUUUGCACCGCCGGGACCAUCGCGCCUUGCGCUUGAAGAUGCAUUUGUGUUCCUACUUCCACAUUAUUGUUACUGGUGAGUGUGUGCAAGCAGGCCUGCCGUCCAUGGGAGGAGGCACGCAAGCACGCAUGAUAAGCCACUGUCGUUUUUCCACUUUAUCAUUUACAUAUUUAAGGCAAUGUACGUGCCUAGCUCCUGUGUGGUUGAGCAUGUCAUCUUGGAAUUUUGUCCAAAGUUUAACAUACCAUGUUGUAUUGUUGUGUAUGGGUAUCAAUAUAAUUUAUCAACUAUUUUUCGUUUACCAUAGACAUUUCUAUGUUUAUUUGCAAGGGUUAGGGAAAUUUGUCCUUGAUAGUGUACUAACCGCGUCUGCCAACUGAACAGAUCAACUUUCUCAACAGCCUAUCUCCUACUUGAAAAAAUAUUCGCUUUAGAAAUGGUUUGUUUCUUUUCUGUGUAGCUCUAUCACCCAUCACCGUGAGGGUUACAAAACUCGGCGCAAGGGUUCCAAGCUGUGGCGCCACAAACCACAUAAGCUGUGGCGCAAGGGUUCUAGCUGGCUAGUCACAAACAACUAUUUCAUCCCGGAUGUCUUCCAUGCCCAUGGAGCUGCCGCUUUCUUGAUCGAGUAAUCUAUGCCCAUGAAAGAGUUCGGUAUUUGUCUGAUCGAGGAAGACGAGGUAGCACAUUUAUGUGAAAGCAGUACUGGCGGACAUGAUGGUCGGUGGCCUAUUGAUUAUCUUCCAACUCCUUUAUGCCAUUAUCAGUACUACAGAAAUCAUUUGUAGGGGUGAAAUGUUUUUUUUUUAGGGUGGACCAAAAGGUCUGCCACCCCCAGGGGCGGAGCUACAGUCAACCAUCGAUGAUUUGGUCGCGAGCUCUUAUAUCCUUCCCAGGAGAACUGCCCAUACGUUGCUACGGAUAAAAAUAAUGUAUAUAAUUACAUUAAUCAUGAUUCGUUAUUUCAAAUGUGUGACAUAUUAUUGAAUUUACGUAUCUUUCUAUGCAUUUUUCGAACAAAGAGAUAUUUUUAUAAUAAUUUUAUCAGAUUAACAUGAGACAUAAUCUUCUAUGGUAUAUUAUGUACUCUAGUAUGUAAAUCUUAUGUUUGUUUGUGUAGUCUUCUACGUUGCUCGCUUUUUAUAAUAAAAGUAGAGAGAGGUGUGCGCCUAUGAACAACAAAAACCCAAAAAUGUACACAAUAAUCAAUAAAUUAUAAUUAUUAUUUUUUCCUAGAAUAAAAAUAUGGACUCAUCGAGCCCAUGAAAAGCGCAAGGAGGUGGCCCGGCAGCCCCAUCCAUCCAUCCAUUGUUAUCCAUACUUGCUAAACAAAUGAAUUAAAAACAUAAUUUUAUCCACACAAGAGACGGAUUAAUUGUUUGGUACUGAACUUUCUUGGACGUUGCUGUUGCUGGAUUCGGCAUUAGGAAGGCGUCGCUCGGCCGUGCAGACGUGCCAUUGUGGCUUUGUGGAGGCACCCCUACGUUGUGUCGGAGCGGAGCUGCAGGCAGCGUAAGCGGCCGGGUAGCACGCCACAACAUGCUAGAGACAGCGCCGAGCCUUGAGCCUUCGACUGGGGCUGCUUAUAGCGCCAACACCGCUCUGUAUCUUGCUCAGUGGAUGGGCGGACGACGGCGAGCGGCGCCUAGGAGAACUGCAAAUGCUCCUGCACACAUGCCCCAUGGGCCGGAACUGCACACUAACCCCCGCGAACGAUGGUAGUAGGGCAACAAAGCUGGCCAUGGCGCUACUCGUUGAGCUUUCCGUGUGCGCGAACAGGCAUUUGAUAUGUUCCCUACAAAAUUAAAGGUUGUUUGAUUCAAUGGUCAAAUAGUGCGAGCAUGUUAAUUGAUGCGAGUGUAUUGUGGGAACUGCCAAGGAACUGCAGGGCAUCGAGCAAGCAGUGGUGUUGCUCGGAAGUACCAGCACUAACACGCUUUCCGAUGUGUCUCCAGCGGGGGUGGCAGCGUCUACCUGCUCGGCAGCAGUAGUGUCACCCUAUUCUGGGCAUCUCCCCACGCGUCUUGGCCAUCGUUACCUCUGGCAUCGUUAAGGUAUGGCUUCCUUUCAGCCUCGGCCGUUUCUUUGUCCAGUGACCGGUUAAAAGAUCAUUAUCUAAUCAACCAUUCACGUCACCCAUAGUGUAGGCAACAGGCCAUUCUAUUGCGAUCCGCUGUCGCCUAUCGCUUCCCUUCAGAAUUUGAAGUCAGAAAUUCUUUUGUUUCAAUUUUGCUACCUCCACUAGUUUUCUUAAAUCAGAAUCAUGUUGAAACCAGAAGAGCCUUGUUAGCUUGUUUGAUCUAUACUUCGUUGUAGCAAAUGUAAAAUGACAACUGGUUGUUUCAUAUUCGAUCUGCAAGUCUUCUUCUCAUUCACACGAUGGAUGGCCAUAGGCACAAAGAGAAUUGAAGUAGUAGACCAUAAUCACUAUAGUAAAAGCUUAAAAUCUCAAAAUAUGUCAUCAUUUAUUUUUCAUUAUGUUAUCCAUAGAACUAUAGUAUGAGUUAGAAUAUUGCAUGGACAUCAGAUCAGCUACAACAUUUCCUAGCUUCGCCCUUCGCCACCCCUGCAGCAGCUAGCCCAAUCCAGGAAAUGUAUUUCCCAGGUGGGGGUGAGCAGACCCUGGAAAUAAGCUGGGGACGGACCAGCACGUCAACCGUCUCUGAAAAUAGCCCAUUUCAGAGGUGGGCAACUCCAUGGUCCGUCCUAGCAGAUUGAAUUACAGCAGCAGACGACACGAAGCAUCACCCUGCUGCUCAACGAAAUUUUGUAUGGACAACGCGCAAAUGAAAAGGCAAGUGGAAAGCAUAAGGUCCAUUCUGCUCCGCACAUAUAUCUUAUCUCAACCACAGCUUUCCAUGUCAUCUCCUUAGAGAAACUCCGACAGAUUGAUUUUCCACAUUCCCCUUUAUCCUCUUAUAGGGCAUUCCCUUUCACGAUUUCUGAAUUUUGAAGACUAGUGGGGCAAGAAAUUUUGUAUAGUAACAAAGAUAAUCUCAGCCCCACUUGCUACACAUACAUGCACGGUAAAUAGAAAGGGUUAUUUUCUAUGUCAAAGGCAUGCUCAGCUUCAAAGUCGUUCUGUUGUUAGCAUCGUUGUGUUGUUUCUGAUAACGUGCAGGAGGAAGCGAAAACACAGAGUAGAAAGAGGAUGAGAAAUUAAAGAAGACAAUGAAGCUCACGUUCACGUCUACAUGAGGGAGCUCUCACACAAGCAAGUCCAUUCAUCCUCUGUCUCCAUGCUGUUGAUGAUGACAUGUCACAUGUCCUUUGCCUUGACGUCGGCGGCAGGCCGGCAGCCCAAUGAACCCAUGACGAACAGCAUGAGCAUGACCAGCUAACUUCAUUGCUGAGUACAACAUGUGGUUAUCCUUGCUAUAACUAAUGUUGGUCAGAAGAAGAAGCUGCUAUAAAGUUGUUCUGAAGACGCUGAGUUCUAGGCGUACGCAAGCCCCGGUUGAUUGCCUGCGAAGUUUGGAACCUUCGUUUCCAGGAUUAAGCUGUAAAUCUCCGAUAGACUCUCUUUAUAUCUCUUUAUGUGAUACUGUUACUGUUAUUCACUGAUGAUGUGACUAUAUGUAUGAAACUUGAUCAUGUCAUACAUACAGUUAGCACUUGGUUUUGCUGUUCUAAAAUCAGAUGUGACACCUAUGAACCCAUGACGAACAGCAUGAGCGUAACCAGCUAACUUCAUUGCUGCUGCCUUUCGUAGAUGUUGGUGAACAUGACGUGUCUUUCAUCUCCACGAUGGCGACGGAUCCAAAGAUCGAAGAACAUGCAUCAACGCGAUCCGUAUGGCGUGUUUUCUGGUAUUUCCACCCCAUGAUGUAACGCCGACCGGGUUCCAUACGAGGCCUACGGCCACUCUGUUCACUUUCAUCAUGUGCUCCGAUGAGAGUUCAUCACCGUGAUAAAAGACGGAGACGAGGGCACACAGUCGUAGCUGCAAGUAAGGCCAACAGGCUCAAGGCCAUGGCUUUACAGCCAGCAGUCUUGCCUUGCAUGCACUCACGGACUAUUACCGGACUAGCAAUUGGUACUUUGACGCACUACAUGGACCCUUACAAAAUUAAAAAAAUGAACGUCAACAAGCAAAUGAAACUGCGUGAACUGAAGUAGGGAAAUGAAGACCACGUACAGUUCUUAUUGAAGCUGAAAUGUAUGUCAUAAAAGUAUUAUUGUUAGAUUGAAGUCAAUUUAAAUAUUUAAACGAGUAACGAGGGCUCGGAUUAGUAGAAGGUGUUAGUGAGGCCCUCCAACAGACCACUCAAUGAUUUUUAGAUCCAACUGUUUAUAUAGUAAGUUCGGAUAUUUAAUUAAUAAAUUGAAGUUGCCUUAAGAUAUGCAUAGUAAAUCACAAGACCAAAGUGGAAUAACCAUUAGACAACUAAUAAAACCAUAAUUAAGUUUUUCUCUACUUAAUUUUAGCAAUAUUGCUUAGGUUUUCUAUUUCGUCUAAAAAUAUCUUAAGCGGCUCAUAUGUCCGAAUUACCCACACAGUGAAUAAAUGUCAUUCCAGUUCAAGGAUUCAUGUGCAGUUAUCACACACUAGUGUGAACCCAUCAAGUGUGUGUCUUGCUUCCCUUUUCAAUCAACAAGCUACCUCCCUGAUUUGAAUAUAAUAAACUUAAAUGCUUCAGUUUCUAUGGUCCAUUGUUAUGUGAUGGACAUGAAAAAUGAAAAAUAUAGCCUACAAUGUUCAAAAUGCAUCUGAAAUACUAGGGUAUAAAAUAAGCUCACUGCCAUCCAAGUACAAGGGUUAACAACUAGAAAUAUAACCUUUAUUGCUAUCUGUAAAGAAAAUAUGCCUGUUGAAUUACAUGUCAGGAAAGGUGAAUGCACGGAUUGACGGCUAGUAUUAGCUAAUUUUGUUGUCUUUUUUGUUAAUAACUAGGUUUCCAAUGCCAAACUCUGCGUAAGGGUUCAGCAACUGGCUACAUAUUGGAAAGGAAUUACUGUUGGUGGCUAGCCCUCAUAAGAGAUAACUAUUUCAUCCCUGAUGCCUUCCAUGCCUAUGGAUGUACCGCGUGCUCGAGUAAGCUAUGCUUGCAGAUGGAUCUUAAACCUGAUGUCAAAUUGUGGAUAAUUGAAAGAGUUUGCUGUUUGUCUGCUUUAGGGAAGAUGGGUAGCACGUUUAUAUGCCAUUAAUUCUCAUGAAAGAGUGCAUAUACCAUGUUUGUCGCAGCAAGAUGAGGCUGUAGAGUAGUAGACGUGUAGAACAAUGGUACAGGUUGUAUGAAUAAUUUAUUGAAGGGAAUCAUAGACGCCACAGCCACUGAAGCUGUUGGGGCAUGAUUAGCCAAUGGUCUAAUUCCUGAUAUCUCCGUAUCCUAAUUUUCUGAAGCCUUACGGACUCUACCCUCCUCACUUCAUAUAUAUUAGUGUUUAUAAUAGCGGUUUUAUAAGAAGUGCUGAAGGUAUUGGUCCUGCUAUAUCUUGCUUCCACUACCGGAUUUGUGUACGAAAUAUUAAUUCUUGAGAUUUGUCAAUGAUUUAAGGACGCAAUGAUACCUUCAACUACCGGAUUGUAUAUAUAAGUUAGUCUUAGCCAGUUAUAUAUCAGAGGAGGAAGCACGCAUUAAAUAAUAAAUAACUCAUGUUGAUUCAAUUGGCAACCUGGCCUCUAAAAAGAAAAGGACUCUGUUCUCAAAAAAUGAAAAAAAGUAGCCUGCUAAUAACAAUGUCGACACUUUACAUCUGAGCAGCUAGCUCCGUGAUGCUUUAUCUGGCUAGUGAACUACCUACCUAUGUUAUUUAAACAUUUUUGCUGCCUAUAAAUUGGGCAUCAUUUCAGCGGACCACCACAGCACCUGAGCUUGCCAUCUUUUCCUGUUCUAUCUCACUCAUUUGUCCUGUAGCUACUAGCUAAGCUACCAUAUCAUCCAUGGCUUCCGGUGCCUCCACCACGUUGAAGAUUGCCUCUAUCGCCGCUUGCAUCCUGCUGGUUCUGCUGUCCAAUGGCCACCCUACAGUGGCGACCGUUGAUUGUACUGCGGCUUGCAAAGAGCCGUGCGAGAGCUUUUCUAAGGGAUUCUGCGCGGGUGGAGCCACCAGCGGUUGUGCGACUAAGGCAGCAGCUACAGCAUGCCGCAAUUCGGCGUUCUCGCAGUGUGCGAACAACUGCUACACAGUUUGCACCGCCGGGACCAUCGCGUCUUGCGCUUGAAGAUGCAUUUGUGUUCCUACUUCCACAUUAUUGUUACUGGUGAGUGUGUGCAAGCAGGCCUGCUGUCCACGGGAGGAGGCACGCAAGCACGCAUGAUAAGACACUGUCGUUUUUCCACUUUAUCAUUUACAUAUUUAAGGCAAUGUACGUGCCUAGCUCCUGUGUGGUUGAGCAUGUCAUCUUGGAAUUUUGUCCAAAGUUUAACAUACCAUGUUGUAUUGUUGUGUAUGGGUAUCAAUAUAAUUUAUCAACUAUUUUUCGUUUACCAUAGACAUUUCUAUGUUUAUUUGCAAGGGUUAGGGAAAUUUGUCCUUGAUAGUGUACUAACCGCGUCUGCCAACUGAACAGAUCAACUUUCUCAACAGCCUAUCUCCUACUUGAAAAAAUAUUCGCUUUAGAAAUGGUUUGUUUCUUUUCUGUGUAGCUCUAUCACCCAUCACCGUGAGGGUUACAAAACUCGGCGCAAGGGUUCCAAGCUGUGGCGCCACAAACCACAUAAGCUGUGGCGCAAGGGUUCUAGCUGGCUAGUCACAAACAACUAUUUCAUCCCGGAUGUCUUCCAUGCCCAUGGAGCUGCCGCUUUCUUGAUCGAGUAAUCUAUGCCCAUGAAAGAGUUCGGUAUUUGUCUGAUCGAGGAAGACGAGGUAGCACAUUUAUGUGAAAGCAGUACUGGCGGACAUGAUGGUCGGUGGCCUAUUGAUUAUCUUCCAACUCCUUUAUGCCAUUAUCAGUACUACAGAAAUCAUUUGUAGGGGUGAAGUGUUUUUUUUUAGGGUGGACCAAAAGGUCUGCCACCCCCAGGGGCGGAGCUACAGUCAACCAUCGAUGAUUUGGUCGCGAGCUCUUAUAUCCUUCCCAGGAGAACUGCCCAUACGUUGCUACGGAUAAAAAUAAUGUAUAUAAUUACAUUAAUCAUGAUUCGUUAUUUCAAAUGUGUGACAUAUUAUUGAAUUUACGUAUCUUUCUAUGCAUUUUUCGAACAAAGAGAUAUUUUUAUAAUAAUUUUAUCAGAUUAACAUGAGACAUAAUCUUCUAUGGUAUAUUAUGUACUCUAGUAUGUAAAUCUUAUGUUUGUUUGUGUAGUCUUCUACGUUGCUCGCUUUUUAUAAUAAAAGUAGAGAGAGGUGUGCGCCUAUGAACAACAAAAACCCAAAAAUGUACACAAUAAUCAAUAAAUUAUAAUUAUUAUUUUUUCCUAGAAUAAAAAUAUGGACUCAUCGAGCCCAUGAAAAGCGCAAGGAGGUGGCCCGGCAGCCCCAUCCAUCCAUCCAUUGUUAUCCAUACUUGCUAAACAAAUGAAUUAAAAACAUAAUUUUAUCCACACAAGAGACGGAUUAAUUGUUUGGUACUGAACUUUCUUGGACGUUGCUGUUGCUGGAUUCGGCAUUAGGAAGGCGUCGCUCGGCCGUGCAGACGUGCCAUUGUGGCUUUGUGGAGGCACCCCUACGUUGUGUCGGAGCGGAGCUGCAGGCAGCGUAAGGGGCCGGGUAGCACGCCACAACAUGCUAGAGACAGCGCCGAGCCUUGAGCCUUCGACUGGGGCUGCUUAUAGCGCCAACACCGCUCUGUAUCUUGCUCAGUGGAUGGGCGGACGACGGCGAGCGGCGCCUAGGAGAACUGCAAAUGCUCCUGCACACAUGCCCCAUGGGCCGGAACUGCACACUAACCCCCGCGAACGAUGGUAGUAGGGCAACAAAGCUGGCCAUGGCGCUACUCGUUGAGCUUUCCGUGUGCGCGAACAGGCAUUUGAUAUGUUCCCUACAAAAUUAAAGGUUGUUUGAUUCAAUGGUCAAAUAGUGCGAGCAUGUUAAUUGAUGCGAGUGUAUUGUGGGAACUGCCAAGGAACUGCAGGGCAUCGAGCAAGCAGUGGUGUUGCUCGGAAGUACCAGCACUAACACGCUUUCCGAUGUGUCUCCAGCGGGGGUGGCAGCGUCUACCUGCUCGGCAGCAGUAGUGUCACCCUAUUCUGGGCAUCUCCCCACGCGUCUUGGCCAUCGUUACCUCUGGCAUCGUUAAGGUAUGGCUUCCUUUCAGCCUCGGCCGUUUCUUUGUCCAGUGACCGGUUAAAAGAUCAUUAUCUAAUCAACCAUUCACGUCACCCAUAGUGUAGGCAACAGGCCAUUCUAUUGCGAUCCGCUGUCGCCUAUCGCUUCCCUUCAGAAUUUGAAGUCAGAAAUUCUUUUGUUUCAAUUUUGCUACCUCCACUAGUUUUCUUAAAUCAGAAUCAUGUUGAAACCAGAAGAGCCUUGUUAGCUUGUUUGAUCUAUACUUCGUUGUAGCAAAUGUAAAAUGACAACUGGUUGUUUCAUAUUCGAUCUGCAAGUCUUCUUCUCAUUCACACGAUGGAUGGCCAUAGGCACAAAGAGAAUUGAAGUAGUAGACCAUAAUCACUAUAGUAAAAGCUUAAAAUCUCAAAAUAUGUCAUCAUUUAUUUUUCAUUAUGUUAUCCAUAGAACUAUAGUAUGAGUUAGAAUAUUGCAUGGACAUCAGAUCAGCUACAACAUUUCCUAGCUUCGCCCUUCGCCACCCCUGCAGCAGCUAGCCCAAUCCAGGAAAUGUAUUUCCCAGGUGGGGGUGAGCAGACCCUGGAAAUAAGCUGGGGACGGACCAGCACGUCAACCGUCUCUGAAAAUAGCCCAUUUCAGAGGUGGGCAACUCCAUGGUCCGUCCUAGCAGAUUGAAUUACAGCAGCAGACGACACGAAGCAUCACCCUGCUGCUCAACGAAAUUUUGUAUGGACAACGCGCAAAUGAAAAGGCAAGCGGAAAGCAUAAGGUCCAUUCUGCUCCGCACAUAUAUCUUAUCUCAACCACAGCUUUCCAUGUCAUCUCCUUAGAGAAACUCCGACAGAUUGAUUUUCCACAUUCCCCUUUAUCCUCUUAUAGGGCAUUCCCUUUCACGAUUUCUGAAUUUUGAAGACUAGUGGGGCAAGAAAUUUUGUAUAGUAACAAAGAUAAUCUCAGCCCCACUUGCUACACAUACAUGCACGGUAAAUAGAAAGGGUUAUUUUCUAUGUCAAAGGCAUGCUCAGCUUCAAAGUCGUUCUGUUGUUAGCAUCGUUGUGUUGUUUCUGAUAACGUGCAGGAGGAAGCGAAAACACAGAGUAGAAAGAGGAUGAGAAAUUAAAGAAGACAAUGAAGCUCACGUUCACGUCUACAUGAGGGAGCUCUCACACAAGCAAGUCCAUUCAUCCUCUGUCUCCAUGCUGUUGAUGAUGACAUGUCACAUGUCCUUUGCCUUGACGUCGGCGGCAGGCCGGCAGCCCAAUGAACCCAUGACGAACAGCAUGAGCAUGACCAGCUAACUUCAUUGCUGAGUACAACAUGUGGUUAUCCUUGCUAUAACUAAUGUUGGUCAGAAGAAGAAGCUGCUAUAAAGUUGUUCUGAAGACGCUGAGUUCUAGGCGUACGCAAGCCCCGGUUGAUUGCCUGCGAAGUUUGGAACCUUCGUUUCCAGGAUUAAGCUGUAAAUCUCCGAUAGACUCUCUUUAUAUCUCUUUAUGUGAUACUGUUACUGUUAUUCACUGAUGAUGUGACUAUAUGUAUGAAACUUGAUCAUGUCAUACAUACAGUUAGCACUUGGUUUUGCUGUUCUAAAAUCAGAUGUGACACCUAUGAACCCAUGACGAACAGCAUGAGCGUAACCAGCUAACUUCAUUGCUGCUGCCUUUCGUAGAUGUUGGUGAACAUGACGUGUCUUUCAUCUCCACGAUGGCGACGGAUCCAAAGAUCGAAGAACAUGCAUCAACGCGAUCCGUAUGGCGUGUUUUCUGGUAUUUCCACCCCAUGAUGUAACGCCGACCGGGUUCCAUACGAGGCCUACGGCCACUCUGUUCACUUUCAUCAUGUGCUCCGAUGAGAGUUCAUCACCGUGAUAAAAGACGGAGACGAGGGCACACAGUCGUAGCUGCAAGUAAGGCCAACAGGCUCAAGGCCAUGGCUUUACAGCCAGCAGUCUUGCCUUGCAUGCACUCACGUACUAUUACCGGACUAGCAAUUGGUACUUUGACGCACUACAUGGACCCUUACAAAAUUAAAAAAAUGAACGUCAACAAGCAAAUGAAACUGCAUGAACUGAAGUAGGGAAAUGAAGACCACGUACAGUUCUUAUUGAAGCUGAAAUGUAUGUCAUAAAAGUAUUAUUGUUAGAUUGAAGUCAAUUUAAAUAUUUAAACGAGUAACGAGGGCUCGGAUUAGUAGAAGGUGUUAGUGAGGCCCUCCAACAGACCACUCAAUGAUUUUUAGAUCCAACUGUUUAUAUAGUAAGUUCGGAUAUUUAAUUAAUAAAUUGAAGUUGCCUUAAGAUAUGCAUAGUAAAUCACAAGACCAAAGUGGAAUAACCAUUAGACAACUAAUAAAACCAUAAUUAAGUUUUUCUCUACUUAAUUUUAGCAAUAUUGCUUAGGUUUUCUAUUUCGUCUAAAAAUAUCUUAAGCGGCUCAUAUGUCCGAAUUACCCACACAGUGAAUAAAUGUCAUUCCAGUUCAAGGAUUCAUGUGCAGUUAUCACACACUAGUGUGAACCCAUCAAGUGUGUGUCUUGCUUCCCUUUUCAAUCAACAAGCUACCUCCCUGAUUUGAAUAUAAUAAACUUAAAUGCUUCAGUUUCUAUGGUCCAUUGUUAUGUGAUGGACAUGAAAAAUGAAAAAUAUAGCCUACAAUGUUCAAAAUGCAUCUGAAGUACUAGGGUAUAAAAUAAGCUCACUGCCAUCCAAGUACAAGGGUUAACAACUAGAAAUAUAACCUUUAUUGCUAUCUGUAAAGAAAAUAUGCCUGUUGAAUUACAUGUCAGGAAAGGUGAAUGCACGGAUUGACGGCUAGUAUUAGCUAAUUUUGUUGUCUUUUUUGUUAAUAACUAGGUUUCCAAUGCCAAACUCUGCGUAAGGGUUCAGCAACUGGCUACAUAUUGGAAAGGAGUUACUGUUGGUGGCUAGCCCUCAUAAGAGAUAACUAUUUCAUCCCUGAUGCCUUCCAUGCCUAUGGAUGUACCGCGUGCUCGAGUAAGCUAUGCUUGCAGAUGGAUCUUAAACCUGAUGUCAAAUUGUGGAUAAUUGAAAGAGUUUGCUGUUUGUCUGCUUUAGGGAAGAUGGGUAGCACGUUUAUAUGCCAUUAAUUCUCAUGAAAGAGUGCAUAUACCAUGUUUGUCGCAGCAAGAUGAGGCUGUAGAGUAGUAGACGUGUAGAACAAUGGUACAGGUUGUAUGAAUAAUUUAUUGAAGGGAAUCAUAGACGCCACAGCCACUGAAGCUGUUGGGGCAUGAUUAGCCAAUGGUCUAAUUCCUGAUAUCUCCGUAUCCUAAUUUUCUGAAGCCUUACGGACUCUACCCUCCUCACUUCAUAUAUAUUAGUGUUUAUAAUAGCGGUUUUAUAAGAAGUGCUGAAGGUAUUGGUCCUGCUAUAUCUUGCUUCCACUACCGGAUUUGUGUACGAAAUAUUAAUUCUUGAGAUUUGUCAAUGAUUUUAGGACGCAAUGAUACCUUCAACUACCGGAUUGUAUAUAUAAGUUAGUCUUAGCCAGUUAUAUAUCAGAGGAGGAAGCACGCAUUAAAUAAUAAAUAACUCAUGUUGAUUCAAUUGGCAACCUGGCCUCUAAAAAGAAAAGGACUCUGUUCUCAAAAAAUGAAAAAAAGUAGCCUGCUAAUAACAAUGUCGACACUUUACAUCUGAGCAGCUAGCUCCGUGAUGCUUUAUCUGGCUAGUGAACUACCUACCUAUGUUAUUUAAACAUUUUUGCUGCCUAUAAAUUGGGCAUCAUUUCAGCGGACCACCACAGCACCUGAGCUUGCCAUCUUUUCCUGUUCUAUCUCACUCAUUUGUCCUGUAGCUACUAGCUAAGCCACCAUAUCAUCCAUGGCUUCCGGUGCCUCCACCACGUUGAAGAUUGCCUCUAUCGCCGCUUGCAUCCUGCUGGUUCUGCUGUCCAAUGGCCACCCUACAGUGGCGACCGUUGAUUGUACUGCGGCUUGCAAAGAGCCGUGCGAGAGCUUUUCUAAGGGAUUCUGCGCGGGUGGAGCCACCAGCGGUUGUGCGACUAAGGCAGCAGCUACAGCAUGCCGCAAUUCGGCGUUCUCGCAGUGUGCGAACAACUGCUACACAGUUUGCACCGCCGGGACCAUCGCGCCUUGCGCUUGAAGAUGCAUUUGUGUUCCUACUUCCACAUUAUUGUUACUGGUGAGUGUGUGCAAGCAGGCCUGCCGUCCACGGGAGGAGGCACGCAAGCCCGCAUGAUAAGCCACUGUCGUUUUUCCACUUUAUCAUUUACUUAUUGAAGGCAAUGUACGAUGCCUAGCUCCUGUGUGGUUGAGCAUGUCAUCUUGGAAUUUUGUCCAAAGUUUAACAUACCAUGUUGUAUUGUUGUGUAUGGGUAUCAAUAUAAUUUAUCAACUAUUUUUCGUUUACCAUAGACAUUUCUAUGUUUAUUUGCAAGGGUUAGGGAAAUUUGUCCUUGAUAGUGUACUAACCGCGUCUGCCAACUGAACAGAUCAACUUUCUCAACAGCCUAUCUCCUACUUGAAAAAAUAUUCGCUUUAGAAAUGGUUUGUUUCUUUUCUGUGUAGCUCUAUCACCCAUCACCGUGAGGGUUACAAAACUCGGCGCAAGGGUUCCAAGCUGUGGCGCCACAAACCACAUAAGCUGUGGCGCAAGGGUUCUAGCUGGCUAGUCACAAACAACUAUUUCAUCCCGGAUGUCUUCCAUGCCCAUGGAGCUGCCGCUUUCUUGAUCGAGUAAUCUAUGCCCAUGAAAGAGUUCGGUAUUUGUCUGAUCGAGGAAGACGAGGUAGCACAUUUAUGUGAAAGCAGUACUGGCGGACAUGAUGGUCGGUGGCCUAUUGAUUAUCUUCCAACUCCUUUAUGCCAUUAUCAGUACUACAGAAAUCAUUUGUAGGGGUGAAGUGUUUUUUUUUAGGGUGGACCAAAAGGUCUGCCACCCCCAGGGGCGGAGCUACAGUCAACCAUCGAUGAUUUGGUCGCGAGCUCUUAUAUCCUUCCCAGGAGAACUGCCCAUACGUUGCUACGGAUAAAAAUAAUGUAUAUAAUUACAUUAAUCAUGAUUCGUUAUUUCAAAUGUGUGACAUAUUAUUGAAUUUACGUAUCUUUCUAUGCAUUUUUCGAACAAAGAGAUAUUUUUAUAAUAAUUUUAUCAGAUUAACAUGAGACAUAAUCUUCUAUGGUAUAUUAUGUACUCUAGUAUGUAAAUCUUAUGUUUGUUUGUGUAGUCUUCUACGUUGCUCGCUUUUUAUAAUAAAAGUAGAGAGAGGUGUGCGCCUAUGAACAACAAAAACCCAAAAAUGUACACAAUAAUCAAUAAAUUAUAAUUAUUAUUUUUUCCUAGAAUAAAAAUAUGGACUCAUCGAGCCCAUGAAAAGCGCAAGGAGGUGGCCCGGCAGCCCCAUCCAUCCAUCCAUUGUUAUCCAUACUUGCUAAACAAAUGAAUUAAAAACAUAAUUUUAUCCACACAAGAGACGGAUUAAUUGUUUGGUACUGAACUUUCUUGGACGUUGCUGUUGCUGGAUUCGGCAUUAGGAAGGCGUCGCUCGGCCGUGCAGACGUGCCAUUGUGGCUUUGUGGAGGCACCCCUACGUUGUGUCGGAGCGGAGCUGCAGGCAGCGUAAGCGGCCGGGUAGCACGCCACAACAUGCUAGAGACAGCGCCGAGCCUUGAGCCUUCGACUGGGGCUGCUUAUAGCGCCAACACCGCUCUGUAUCUUGCUCAGUGGAUGGGCGGACGACGGCGAGCGGCGCCUAGGAGAACUGCAAAUGCUCCUGCACACAUGCCCCAUGGGCCGGAACUGCACACUAACCCCCGCGAACGAUGGUAGUAGGGCAACAAAGCUGGCCAUGGCGCUACUCGUUGAGCUUUCCGUGUGCGCGAACAGGCAUUUGAUAUGUUCCCUACAAAAUUAAAGGUUGUUUGAUUCAAUGGUCAAAUAGUGCGAGCAUGUUAAUUGAUGCGAGUGUAUUGUGGGAACUGCCAAGGAACUGCAGGGCAUCGAGCAAGCAGUGGUGUUGCUCGGAAGUACCAGCACUAACACGCUUUCCGAUGUGUCUCCAGCGGGGGUGGCAGCGUCUACCUGCUCGGCAGCAGUAGUGUCACCCUAUUCUGGGCAUCUCCCCACGCGUCUUGGCCAUCGUUACCUCUGGCAUCGUUAAGGUAUGGCUUCCUUUCAGCCUCGGCCGUUUCUUUGUCCAGUGACCGGUUAAAAGAUCAUUAUCUAAUCAACCAUUCACGUCACCCAUAGUGUAGGCAACAGGCCAUUCUAUUGCGAUCCGCUGUCGCCUAUCGCUUCCCUUCAGAAUUUGAAGUCAGAAAUUCUUUUGUUUCAAUUUUGCUACCUCCACUAGUUUUCUUAAAUCAGAAUCAUGUUGAAACCAGAAGAGCCUUGUUAGCUUGUUUGAUCUAUACUUCGUUGUAGCAAAUGUAAAAUGACAACUGGUUGUUUCAUAUUCGAUCUGCAAGUCUUCUUCUCAUUCACACGAUGGAUGGCCAUAGGCACAAAGAGAAUUGAAGUAGUAGACCAUAAUCACUAUAGUAAAAGCUUAAAAUCUCAAAAUAUGUCAUCAUUUAUUUUUCAUUAUGUUAUCCAUAGAACUAUAGUAUGAGUUAGAAUAUUGCAUGGACAUCAGAUCAGCUACAACAUUUCCUAGCUUCGCCCUUCGCCACCCCUGCAGCAGCUAGCCCAAUCCAGGAAAUGUAUUUCCCAGGUGGGGGUGAGCAGACCCUGGAAAUAAGCUGGGGACGGACCAGCACGUCAACCGUCUCUGAAAAUAGCCCAUUUCAGAGGUGGGCAACUCCAUGGUCCGUCCUAGCAGAUUGAAUUACAGCAGCAGACGACACGAAGCAUCACCCUGCUGCUCAACGAAAUUUUGUAUGGACAACGCGCAAAUGAAAAGGCAAGCGGAAAGCAUAAGGUCCAUUCUGCUCCGCACAUAUAUCUUAUCUCAACCACAGCUUUCCAUGUCAUCUCCUUAGAGAAACUCCGACAGAUUGAUUUUCCACAUUCCCCUUUAUCCUCUUAUAGGGCAUUCCCUUUCACGAUUUCUGAAUUUUGAAGACUAGUGGGGCAAGAAAUUUUGUAUAGUAACAAAGAUAAUCUCAGCCCCACUUGCUACACAUACAUGCACGGUAAAUAGAAAGGGUUAUUUUCUAUGUCAAAGGCAUGCUCAGCUUCAAAGUCGUUCUGUUGUUAGCAUCGUUGUGUUGUUUCUGAUAACGUGCAGGAGGAAGCGAAAACACAGAGUAGAAAGAGGAUGAGAAAUUAAAGAAGACAAUGAAGCUCACGUUCACGUCUACAUGAGGGAGCUCUCACACAAGCAAGUCCAUUCAUCCUCUGUCUCCAUGCUGUUGAUGAUGAUAUGUCACAUGUCCUUUGCCUUGACGUCGGCGGCAGGCCGGCAGCCCAAUGAACCCAUGACGAACAGCAUGAGCAUGACCAGCUAACUUCAUUGCUGAGUACAACAUGUGGUUAUCCUUGCUAUAACUAAUGUUGGUCAGAAGAAGAAGCUGCUAUAAAGUUGUUCUGAAGACGCUGAGUUCUAGGCGUACGCAAGCCCCGGUUGAUUGCCUGCGAAGUUUGGAACCUUCGUUUCCAGGAUUAAGCUGUAAAUCUCCGAUAGACUCUCUUUAUAUCUCUUUAUGUGAUACUGUUACUGUUAUUCACUGAUGAUGUGACUAUAUGUAUGAAACUUGAUCAUGUCAUACAUACAGUUAGCACUUGGUUUUGCUGUUCUAAAAUCAGAUGUGACACCUAUGAACCCAUGACGAACAGCAUGAGCGUAACCAGCUAACUUCAUUGCUGCUGCCUUUCGUAGAUGUUGGUGAACAUGACGUGUCUUUCAUCUCCACGAUGGCGACGGAUCCAAAGAUCGAAGAACAUGCAUCAACGCGAUCCGUAUGGCGUGUUUUCUGGUAUUUCCACCCCAUGAUGUAACGCCGACCGGGUUCCAUACGAGGCCUACGGCCACUCUGUUCACUUUCAUCAUGUGCUCCGAUGAGAGUUCAUCACCGUGAUAAAAGACGGAGACGAGGGCACACAGUCGUAGCUGCAAGUAAGGCCAACAGGCUCAAGGCCAUGGCUUUACAGCCAGCAGUCUUGCCUUGCAUGCACUCACGUACUAUUACCGGACUAGCAAUUGGUACUUUGACGCACUACAUGGACCCUUACAAAAUUAAAAAAAUGAACGUCAACAAGCAAAUGAAACUGCAUGAACUGAAGUAGGGAAAUGAAGACCACGUACAGUUCUUAUUGAAGCUGAAAUGUAUGUCAUAAAAGUAUUAUUGUUAGAUUGAAGUCAAUUUAAAUAUUUAAACGAGUAACGAGGGCUCGGAUUAGUAGAAGGUGUUAGUGAGGCCCUCCAACAGACCACUCAAUGAUUUUUAGAUCCAACUGUUUAUAUAGUAAGUUCGGAUAUUUAAUUAAUAAAUUGAAGUUGCCUUAAGAUAUGCAUAGUAAAUCACAAGACCAAAGUGGAAUAACCAUUAGACAACUAAUAAAACCAUAAUUAAGUUUUUCUCUACUUAAUUUUAGCAAUAUUGCUUAGGUUUUCUAUUUCGUCUAAAAAUAUCUUAAGCGGCUCAUAUGUCCGAAUUACCCACACAGUGAAUAAAUGUCAUUCCAGUUCAAGGAUUCAUGUGCAGUUAUCACACACUAGUGUGAACCCAUCAAGUGUGUGUCUUGCUUCCCUUUUCAAUCAACAAGCUACCUCCCUGAUUUGAAUAUAAUAAACUUAAAUGCUUCAGUUUCUAUGGUCCAUUGUUAUGUGAUGGACAUGAAAAAUGAAAAAUAUAGCCUACAAUGUUCAAAAUGCAUCUGAAGUACUAGGGUAUAAAAUAAGCUCACUGCCAUCCAAGUACAAGGGUUAACAACUAGAAAUAUAACCUUUAUUGCUAUCUGUAAAGAAAAUAUGCCUGUUGAAUUACAUGUCAGGAAAGGUGAAUGCACGGAUUGACGGCUAGUAUUAGCUAAUUUUGUUGUCUUUUUUGUUAAUAACUAGGUUUCCAAUGCCAAACUCUGCGUAAGGGUUCAGCAACUGGCUACAUAUUGGAAAGGAGUUACUGUUGGUGGCUAGCCCUCAUAAGAGAUAACUAUUUCAUCCCUGAUGCCUUCCAUGCCUAUGGAUGUACCGCGUGCUCGAGUAAGCUAUGCUUGCAGAUGGAUCUUAAACCUGAUGUCAAAUUGUGGAUAAUUGAAAGAGUUUGCUGUUUGUCUGCUUUAGGGAAGAUGGGUAGCACGUUUAUAUGCCAUUAAUUCUCAUGAAAGAGUGCAUAUACCAUGUUUGUCGCAGCAAGAUGAGGCUGUAGAGUAGUAGACGUGUAGAACAAUGGUACAGGUUGUAUGAAUAAUUUAUUGAAGGGAAUCAUAGACGCCACAGCCACUGAAGCUGUUGGGGCAUGAUUAGCCAAUGGUCUAAUUCCUGAUAUCUCCGUAUCCUAAUUUUCUGAAGCCUUACGGACUCUACCCUCCUCACUUCAUAUAUAUUAGUGUUUAUAAUAGCGGUUUUAUAAGAAGUGCUGAAGGUAUUGGUCCUGCUAUAUCUUGCUUCCACUACCGGAUUUGUGUACGAAAUAUUAAUUCUUGAGAUUUGUCAAUGAUUUUAGGACGCAAUGAUACCUUCAACUACCGGAUUGUAUAUAUAAGUUAGUCUUAGCCAGUUAUAUAUCAGAGGAGGAAGCACGCAUUAAAUAAUAAAUAACUCAUGUUGAUUCAAUUGGCAACCUGGCCUCUAAAAAGAAAAGGACUCUGUUCUCAAAAAAUGAAAAAAAGUAGCCUGCUAAUAACAAUGUCGACACUUUACAUCUGAGCAGCUAGCUCCGUGAUGCUUUAUCUGGCUAGUGAACUACCUACCUAUGUUAUUUAAACAUUUUUGCUGCCUAUAAAUUGGGCAUCAUUUCAGCGGACCACCACAGCACCUGAGCUUGCCAUCUUUUCCUGUUCUAUCUCACUCAUUUGUCCUGUAGCUACUAGCUAAGCCACCAUAUCAUCCAUGGCUUCCGGUGCCUCCACCACGUUGAAGAUUGCCUCUAUCGCCGCUUGCAUCCUGCUGGUUCUGCUGUCCAAUGGCCACCCUACAGUGGCGACCGUUGAUUGUACUGCGGCUUGCAAAGAGCCGUGCGAGAGCUUUUCUAAGGGAUUCUGCGCGGGUGGAGCCACCAGCGGUUGUGCGACUAAGGCAGCAGCUACAGCAUGCCGCAAUUCGGCGUUCUCGCAGUGUGCGAACAACUGCUACACAGUUUGCACCGCCGGGACCAUCGCGCCUUGCGCUUGAAGAUGCAUUUGUGUUCCUACUUCCACAUUAUUGUUACUGGUGAGUGUGUGCAAGCAGGCCUGCCGUCCACGGGAGGAGGCACGCAAGCCCGCAUGAUAAGCCACUGUCGUUUUUCCACUUUAUCAUUUACUUAUUGAAGGCAAUGUACGAUGCCUAGCUCCUGUGUGGUUGAGCAUGUCAUCUUGGAAUUUUGUCCAAAGUUUAACAUACCAUGUUGUAUUGUUGUGUAUGGGUAUCAAUAUAAUUUAUCAACUAUUUUUCGUUUACCAUAGACAUUUCUAUGUUUAUUUGCAAGGGUUAGGGAAAUUUGUCCUUGAUAGUGUACUAACCGCGUCUGCCAACUGAACAGAUCAACUUUCUCAACAGCCUAUCUCCUACUUGAAAAAAUAUUCGCUUUAGAAAUGGUUUGUUUCUUUUCUGUGUAGCUCUAUCACCCAUCACCGUGAGGGUUACAAAACUCGGCGCAAGGGUUCCAAGCUGUGGCGCCACAAACCACAUAAGCUGUGGCGCAAGGGUUCUAGCUGGCUAGUCACAAACAACUAUUUCAUCCCGGAUGUCUUCCAUGCCCAUGGAGCUGCCGCUUUCUUGAUCGAGUAAUCUAUGCCCAUGAAAGAGUUCGGUAUUUGUCUGAUCGAGGAAGACGAGGUAGCACAUUUAUGUGAAAGCAGUACUGGCGGACAUGAUGGUCGGUGGCCUAUUGAUUAUCUUCCAACUCCUUUAUGCCAUUAUCAGUACUACAGAAAUCAUUUGUAGGGGUGAAGUGUUUUUUUUUUAGGGUGGACCAAAAGGUCUGCCACCCCCAGGGGCGGAGCUACAGUCAACCAUCGAUGAUUUGGUCGCGAGCUCUUAUAUCCUUCCCAGGAGAACUGCCCAUACGUUGCUACGGAUAAAAAUAAUGUAUAUAAUUACAUUAAUCAUGAUUCGUUAUUUCAAAUGUGUGACAUAUUAUUGAAUUUACGUAUCUUUCUAUGCAUUUUUCGAACAAAGAGAUAUUUUUAUAAUAAUUUUAUCAGAUUAACAUGAGACAUAAUCUUCUAUGGUAUAUUAUGUACUCUAGUAUGUAAAUCUUAUGUUUGUUUGUGUAGUCUUCUACGUUGCUCGCUUUUUAUAAUAAAAGUAGAGAGAGGUGUGCGCCUAUGAACAACAAAAACCCAAAAAUGUACACAAUAAUCAAUAAAUUAUAAUUAUUAUUUUUUCCUAGAAUAAAAAUAUGGACUCAUCGAGCCCAUGAAAAGCGCAAGGAGGUGGCCCGGCAGCCCCAUCCAUCCAUCCAUUGUUAUCCAUACUUGCUAAACAAAUGAAUUAAAAACAUAAUUUUAUCCACACAAGAGACGGAUUAAUUGUUUGGUACUGAACUUUCUUGGACGUUGCUGUUGCUGGAUUCGGCAUUAGGAAGGCGUCGCUCGGCCGUGCAGACGUGCCAUUGUGGCUUUGUGGAGGCACCCCUACGUUGUGUCGGAGCGGAGCUGCAGGCAGCGUAAGCGGCCGGGUAGCACGCCACAACAUGCUAGAGACAGCGCCGAGCCUUGAGCCUUCGACUGGGGCUGCUUAUAGCGCCAACACCGCUCUGUAUCUUGCUCAGUGGAUGGGCGGACGACGGCGAGCGGCGCCUAGGAGAACUGCAAAUGCUCCUGCACACAUGCCCCAUGGGCCGGAACUGCACACUAACCCCCGCGAACGAUGGUAGUAGGGCAACAAAGCUGGCCAUGGCGCUACUCGUUGAGCUUUCCGUGUGCGCGAACAGGCAUUUGAUAUGUUCCCUACAAAAUUAAAGGUUGUUUGAUUCAAUGGUCAAAUAGUGCGAGCAUGUUAAUUGAUGCGAGUGUAUUGUGGGAACUGCCAAGGAACUGCAGGGCAUCGAGCAAGCAGUGGUGUUGCUCGGAAGUACCAGCACUAACACGCUUUCCGAUGUGUCUCCAGCGGGGGUGGCAGCGUCUACCUGCUCGGCAGCAGUAGUGUCACCCUAUUCUGGGCAUCUCCCCACGCGUCUUGGCCAUCGUUACCUCUGGCAUCGUUAAGGUAUGGCUUCCUUUCAGCCUCGGCCGUUUCUUUGUCCAGUGACCGGUUAAAAGAUCAUUAUCUAAUCAACCAUUCACGUCACCCAUAGUGUAGGCAACAGGCCAUUCUAUUGCGAUCCGCUGUCGCCUAUCGCUUCCCUUCAGAAUUUGAAGUCAGAAAUUCUUUUGUUUCAAUUUUGCUACCUCCACUAGUUUUCUUAAAUCAGAAUCAUGUUGAAACCAGAAGAGCCUUGUUAGCUUGUUUGAUCUAUACUUCGUUGUAGCAAAUGUAAAAUGACAACUGGUUGUUUCAUAUUCGAUCUGCAAGUCUUCUUCUCAUUCACACGAUGGAUGGCCAUAGGCACAAAGAGAAUUGAAGUAGUAGACCAUAAUCACUAUAGUAAAAGCUUAAAAUCUCAAAAUAUGUCAUCAUUUAUUUUUCAUUAUGUUAUCCAUAGAACUAUAGUAUGAGUUAGAAUAUUGCAUGGACAUCAGAUCAGCUACAACAUUUCCUAGCUUCGCCCUUCGCCACCCCUGCAGCAGCUAGCCCAAUCCAGGAAAUGUAUUUCCCAGGUGGGGGUGAGCAGACCCUGGAAAUAAGCUGGGGACGGACCAGCACGUCAACCGUCUCUGAAAAUAGCCCAUUUCAGAGGUGGGCAACUCCAUGGUCCGUCCUAGCAGAUUGAAUUACAGCAGCAGACGACACGAAGCAUCACCCUGCUGCUCAACGAAAUUUUGUAUGGACAACGCGCAAAUGAAAAGGCAAGCGGAAAGCAUAAGGUCCAUUCUGCUCCGCACAUAUAUCUUAUCUCAACCACAGCUUUCCAUGUCAUCUCCUUAGAGAAACUCCGACAGAUUGAUUUUCCACAUUCCCCUUUAUCCUCUUAUAGGGCAUUCCCUUUCACGAUUUCUGAAUUUUGAAGACUAGUGGGGCAAGAAAUUUUGUAUAGUAACAAAGAUAAUCUCAGCCCCACUUGCUACACAUACAUGCACGGUAAAUAGAAAGGGUUAUUUUCUAUGUCAAAGGCAUGCUCAGCUUCAAAGUCGUUCUGUUGUUAGCAUCGUUGUGUUGUUUCUGAUAACGUGCAGGAGGAAGCGAAAACACAGAGUAGAAAGAGGAUGAGAAAUUAAAGAAGACAAUGAAGCUCACGUUCACGUCUACAUGAGGGAGCUCUCACACAAGCAAGUCCAUUCAUCCUCUGUCUCCAUGCUGUUGAUGAUGACAUGUCACAUGUCCUUUGCCUUGACGUCGGCGGCAGGCCGGCAGCCCAAUGAACCCAUGACGAACAGCAUGAGCAUGACCAGCUAACUUCAUUGCUGAGUACAACAUGUGGUUAUCCUUGCUAUAACUAAUGUUGGUCAGAAGAAGAAGCUGCUAUAAAGUUGUUCUGAAGACGCUGAGUUCUAGGCGUACGCAAGCCCCGGUUGAUUGCCUGCGAAGUUUGGAACCUUCGUUUCCAGGAUUAAGCUGUAAAUCUCCGAUAGACUCUCUUUAUAUCUCUUUAUGUGAUACUGUUACUGUUAUUCACUGAUGAUGUGACUAUAUGUAUGAAACUUGAUCAUGUCAUACAUACAGUUAGCACUUGGUUUUGCUGUUCUAAAAUCAGAUGUGACACCUAUGAACCCAUGACGAACAGCAUGAGCGUAACCAGCUAACUUCAUUGCUGCUGCCUUUCGUAGAUGUUGGUGAACAUGACGUGUCUUUCAUCUCCACGAUGGCGACGGAUCCAAAGAUCGAAGAACAUGCAUCAACGCGAUCCGUAUGGCGUGUUUUCUGGUAUUUCCACCCCAUGAUGUAACGCCGACCGGGUUCCAUACGAGGCCUACGGCCACUCUGUUCACUUUCAUCAUGUGCUCCGAUGAGAGUUCAUCACCGUGAUAAAAGACGGAGACGAGGGCACACAGUCGUAGCUGCAAGUAAGGCCAACAGGCUCAAGGCCAUGGCUUUACAGCCAGCAGUCUUGCCUUGCAUGCACUCACGGACUAUUACCGGACUAGCAAUUGGUACUUUGACGCACUACAUGGACCCUUACAAAAUUAAAAAAAUGAACGUCAACAAGCAAAUGAAACUGCAUGAACUGAAGUAGGGAAAUGAAGACCACGUACAGUUCUUAUUGAAGCUGAAAUGUAUGUCAUAAAAGUAUUAUUGUUAGAUUGAAGUCAAUUUAAAUAUUUAAACGAGUAACGAGGGCUCGGAUUAGUAGAAGGUGUUAGUGAGGCCCUCCAACAGACCACUCAAUGAUUUUUAGAUCCAACUGUUUAUAUAGUAAGUUCGGAUAUUUAAUUAAUAAAUUGAAGUUGCCUUAAGAUAUGCAUAGUAAAUCACAAGACCAAAGUGGAAUAACCAUUAGACAACUAAUAAAACCAUAAUUAAGUUUUUCUCUACUUAAUUUUAGCAAUAUUGCUUAGGUUUUCUAUUUCGUCUAAAAAUAUCUUAAGCGGCUCAUAUGUCCGAAUUACCCACACAGUGAAUAAAUGUCAUUCCAGUUCAAGGAUUCAUGUGCAGUUAUCACACACUAGUGUGAACCCAUCAAGUGUGUGUCUUGCUUCCCUUUUCAAUCAACAAGCUACCUCCCUGAUUUGAAUAUAAUAAACUUAAAUGCUUCAGUUUCUAUGGUCCAUUGUUAUGUGAUGGACAUGAAAAAUGAAAAAUAUAGCCUACAAUGUUCAAAAUGCAUCUGAAGUACUAGGGUAUAAAAUAAGCUCACUGCCAUCCAAGUACAAGGGUUAACAACUAGAAAUAUAACCUUUAUUGCUAUCUGUAAAGAAAAUAUGCCUGUUGAAUUACAUGUCAGGAAAGGUGAAUGCACGGAUUGACGGCUAGUAUUAGCUAAUUUUGUUGUCUUUUUUGUUAAUAACUAGGUUUCCAAUGCCAAACUCUGCGUAAGGGUUCAGCAACUGGCUACAUAUUGGAAAGGAGUUACUGUUGGUGGCUAGCCCUCAUAAGAGAUAACUAUUUCAUCCCUGAUGCCUUCCAUGCCUAUGGAUGUACCGCGUGCUCGAGUAAGUUAUGCUUGCAGAUGGAUCUUAAACCUGAUGUCAAAUUGUGGAUAAUUGAAAGAGUUUGCUGUUUGUCUGCUUUAGGGAAGAUGGGUAGCACGUUUAUAUGCCAUUAAUUCUCAUGAAAGAGUGCAUAUACCAUGUUUGUCGCAGCAAGAUGAGGCUGUAGAGUAGUAGACGUGUAGAACAAUGGUACAGGUUGUAUGAAUAAUUUAUUGAAGGGAAUCAUAGACGCCACAGCCACUGAAGCUGUUGGGGCAUGAUUAGCCAAUGGUCUAAUUCCUGAUAUCUCCGUAUCCUAAUUUUCUGAAGCCUUACGGACUCUACCCUCCUCACUUCAUAUAUAUUAGUGUUUAUAAUAGCGGUUUUAUAAGAAGUGCUGAAGGUAUUGGUCCUGCUAUAUCUUGCUUCCACUACCGGAUUUGUGUACGAAAUAUUAAUUCUUGAGAUUUGUCAAUGAUUUUAGGACGCAAUGAUACCUUCAACUACCGGAUUGUAUAUAUAAGUUAGUCUUAGCCAGUUAUAUAUCAGAGGAGGAAGCACGCAUUAAAUAAUAAAUAACUCAUGUUGAUUCAAUUGGCAACCUGGCCUCUAAAAAGAAAAGGACUCUGUUCUCAAAAAAUGAAAAAAAGUAGCCUGCUAAUAACAAUGUCGACACUUUACAUCUGAGCAGCUAGCUCCGUGAUGCUUUAUCUGGCUAGUGAACUACCUACCUAUGUUAUUUAAACAUUUUUGCUGCCUAUAAAUUGGGCAUCAUUUCAGCGGACCACCACAGCACCUGAGCUUGCCAUCUUUUCCUGUUCUAUCUCACUCAUUUGUCCUGUAGCUACUAGCUAAGCCACCAUAUCAUCCAUGGCUUCCGGUGCCUCCACCACGUUGAAGAUUGCCUCUAUCGCCGCUUGCAUCCUGCUGGUUCUGCUGUCCAAUGGCCACCCUACAGUGGCGACCGUUGAUUGUACUGCGGCUUGCAAAGAGCCGUGCGAGAGCUUUUCUAAGGGAUUCUGCGCGGGUGGAGCCACCAGCGGUUGUGCGACUAAGGCAGCAGCUACAGCAUGCCGCAAUUCGGCGUUCUCGCAGUGUGCGAACAACUGCUACACAGUUUGCACCGCCGGGACCAUCGCGCCUUGCGCUUGAAGAUGCAUUUGUGUUCCUACUUCCACAUUAUUGUUACUGGUGAGUGUGUGCAAGCAGGCCUGCCGUCCACGGGAGGAGGCACGCAAGCACGCAUGAUAAGCCACUGUCGUUUUUCCACUUUAUCAUUUACUUAUUGAAGGCAAUGUACGAUGCCUAGCUCCUGUGUGGUUGAGCAUGUCGUCUUGGAAUUUUGUCCAAAGUUUAACAUACCAUGUUGUAUUGUUGUGUAUGCGUAUCAAUAUAAUUUAUCAACUAUUUUUCGUUUACCAUAGACAUUUCUAGUUUAUUUGCAAGGGUUAGGGAAAUUUGUCCUUGAUAGUGUAUUAACCGCAUCUGCCAACUGAACAGAUCAACUUUCUCAACAGCCUAUCUCCUACUUGAAAAAUAUUCGCUUUAGAAAAGGUUUGUUUCUUUUCUGUGUAGCUGUAGCCACCGUGAGGGUUACAAAACUCGGCGCAAGGGUUCCAAGCUGUGGCACCACAAACCACAUAAGCUGUGGCACAAGGGUUCUAGCUGGGUGGUCACAAACAACUAUUUCAUCCCGGAUGUCUUCCAUGCCCAUGGACCUCACUACGGGAAACAGAACCUUUGCCGAGUGCCCCAGGCACUCGGCAAAGGCAUAAAAACACUCGGCAAAGCCUUUGCCGAGUGUAACACUCGGCAAAGAGCACACGGCAAAUGUUGUGUCGGCAAAGCAUAGUUCGCCGAGUGUCAAAACUCGGACACUCGGCAAACUUGUCACCGACGGCCAAAAAACACUCGGCGAAAAGAUGUACUCGGCGAAUUGCGGACUGACGGCGUCGGGUAACGGCGGGUUUGCCGAGUGCCAAACGGGAGGCACUCGGCAAACACCGGGUCUUUGCUGAGUGCCAACACUCGGCAAAGACCAGGAGUUUGCCGAGUGCCACGCGCCUGGCACUCAGCAAACACGGUCCCUUUGCCGAGUGCCGGCUCCCGGGCACUCGGCAAAGCCGGCUCCCUUUGCCAAGUGCCCUGACAUUAGCACUCGGCAAACCGGCCCCCUUUGCCGAGUGCCUUGACCAGAGCACUCGGCAAAGGACCUUUCCUACACCUGGGAAAUGCCCCUUUGCCGAGUGCUAUGGUCAAUGCACUCGGCAAAGGACCCUCUUUGCCGAGUGUUACACUCGGCAAAGUGACCAGAACCGCCCUUUUUUCGAUAUUUUGCCAUGUAUAACGGACCCCUCUCAAUUCACAAUACACAUAUCACAGGCAUUUGUAAUAAACAACCACAUGGAUAAUUCACAACCACAGGCAUAAUUCAUAAACACCACAGGCAUAGUUCAACAUAAGCACGAAAUAAUCCAUAAAACCAAGUUCUUCUCACAAUUUAGUUUCCACAUUGUUCACAAUCAAGUCUACUUCCGUGGAGGCCAAGGAGACCACUGCGACAAAUCUUGAUCUUCAUUAUUCAAAGCCGCCGAUUGAUUCUGCACAUAGGAUAGGACAUUCUGAGGUAACAUCUAAAGUUGUCAAAUUUAAACUAUUGAAACUUAAGCACAAUGUGUCAAGUGACUCACAGGAGUAGUCGUGGGUGGCUGAGGCGGAGGGAACAUCAUCGGCGGUGGCGGAGGCAAAGACUGUCCCAUGCUCGUAGCAAAGUUCUGCAUGUACUGGAACAUCUGCUCCAUCCUAAUCCGGUUUUCCUCCUCCAUCCUCCGCCGCAUUUCCUCCAUCUGCGACUUAAUCUCCUCUUGUGCCUUCCUUGAUUCUUCCACCUGGGCCUACAAUAUUUCAUUGCAAUGUUAUAAUGCAAAGCUAAAGUAUAACAACAAACGAACGAUGAAUGGAAGAGAAAGAACCUGUAGAGCCUCCAUCUGGAACUGUGCAGCGGUGGGUCGUGGGCGUACCGCCGGGCUCGAGUCCGUGCUCCUAGCUCGGAUCUGGGAGAGAGUGGGAGUAGAGGCCGUGUCGAUGACGCCGUCGCCAAUCCAAUAACGGCCAUGCUUCUUGCCUCCUCCCACCCUCAUCACGAUUUCUCCAUCAAUGUCCUCGGAGCUCGGAUCGAAGUCUGGCCCGUGAACUUCCCUAGCCACCUUUGUAUACUUGCUGACGCGGCUGUAUAUGCUAGGGUGGCUGUACGCCUCCGACGGGUCGUCUGGGUUGAAAUCUAUAUCGGACGUCGCCUUGCCCUUUUUGGAGAGGACCCAUGCCUUGAGCUGGGAGCAAGGUCGGCCAUCAUGUGACGCCGACUGCGGCAAAAAACAAAAUCAUUAAAAAUUACAUAGAACUGAACGUUACAAUAAAGAAUUGAAGUUGCGUACCCAUUUUUCUCUAUAUUCAUCAAGGCUUAGGCUACCUUGAUGGUGUGAUGCAGUCGGCAUCUGCAAACGCCGCUGCCGGCAAGAAAGGUGGGUCUCCAACCACCCGGGCUCCAACCACACGUCGACCAUCCUCUCCCAGCACGGCAUAUGCGCACGACACCACCACGGAGGCACCUACAUCAUCAAGCGUGUGACGUAUGAAAAAGAAAAUGAGCCUAAUUAAUCAUAAAUAGUAAGCAUCAACAUUCUAUACUUACCCUCAUGAAUUGAUCCUUAGUCAUGUUCAUUGUUCUUGCCUCCUCUUUUCUAACCUUCGUACGAUUGUAUUGAGCGUUGAAUUCUAUGAUGGCCUGGAUGCGCGCCUCGUAAUGCAUGUCCCUCACGAGCUUCUUGGCGGCUACAUCACAGAUGGCCUUCGCCUUGGCCUCGAACCCCUCCUGGCAUCUAUAGAAGUCUUGCAUAUACACGCGUAAACAGUUAUUAUUUCAAGAAUGUCGAAAGUAGCUGAUGUAUUGAGCAAUUUAGUACGAGGAGUACUUACCCACAGCUCGGCCUUGACCCGCUCCGCUAUGUUGGGGAAUCUUCUCUGUUGACGAUCAGGGACGUCGGGGGCAGCGACGUAGUGGUCCCACGUGUAGGCCGGCUGCAGCUGUCCGGCGUACACCACCAAGCCAGGGAAGUGAACCCUGCACAAAAGGCCAAGGAUCCCGUUGGCCUUACGGUUGUGGUCACCCCCGCUGAGCUUAACUCAACUCCUGCACAAGUAAUUAAUAUGAAUUAUUAGUUUUUGUAACUUACAACAUAAGAACAAUUUUAAGAAUAUUUAAAGUUACUUACUUGGUCCCAACCGGUUUAAUGAGCGAGCGUAAAUGCUCAGGUAUCGGCCGCUUCGGGAGGGAUGAGGGACCUCGCAACCAUAUCUUGGCCUGGGUAUCCCCUGCCUCCCCGUCCCCCUCCUGCUCCUGCUGCUCCUGCUCCUCCUCCUCCGCCUCCUCGUCCCCAGAGGAGUGUGCGGAAGGUACCUCCUCCUCCUCCUCCUCCUCCUCCUCCUCGUCCUCCUCCACCUCAGGUUCAGGCGACGGGGGCCUCGCCGCUUUACCCUUCCCUCGAGGCCUCUGGACCACCUCCUGCUCCUCCUCCUCCUCCUCCUCCUCAACCCUACGUCGAGGCCUGCCUCGACGCCUCCCUCGACCGCUCCCUGAACGUGACCCUGACCCUGAACGAGUCCCUGCCGCGGCCAGUCUCUCGCAAAUUGACAUGAGCUUCCUGAUACCGCCCACCAUUGCUUAAUGACCUGCAAUUAAAAAGAGUACACGAGUCAGCAUAGGCAAACAAAACAUAAUUACAAAUAUAUACAAAUUAUAAUUAAAUUAUAGCUAAAUUAUUACGAAUCAUACAUGUAUUAGAAAUAAUCAUCAUGAUCGGGAUUAGCUGGAUCAUAAGUCUCAUCAUCACUAUCACGCGUGUCGAUAUAGUCAAGCUCGUGCUCCAAAGAAGGAAUGUCGUCAUCACUGUCAUUAUCUAACUGUAAUCGUUGAAGUAAUUCUAAGUCCUUCACAUUCUGAACCUUGUCUCCACCGUCCUCUACAGCAACCCUCUCGUUGUCUACUUCCAUUCCGAUCGCUUCGGUUAAAUCUAUCACAAAACUCCCUUCGAGCCCAUCUUCUUGGAAUAACUCUCCUUCGUACGUGUCGGGGUCUAUAUUGUAAUCUUCAUUGUUUGGUACAGGUAGUUUACCGUGUGGCGAUACCUUGUACACAACAUCCCAACCCUUAAGACGGCUGUCGGUUUGGCACGGGUAUGACAAAUAAUAAACUUGCGUGGCCUAUUGAGCCACAAUAUAGACAUCGUCUCCUGGUAACUUCGAGCCCAUUCGUGCUUCAUACGGGAGGUGUAGAAUCAUAUGCUGCAUUGGAUUGAAGAAGCCUGGAGGAAAGAUCUUCUCCAACUUACAGAGCAACACAGGCGCCAUUGUUUCCAUUUCUGCAACCACGGUACGAGAUAACUCCUUCGCACAAAGCCGGCGGAAGAAAUUGCUCAACUCCGCUAGCACCUGCCACACAUGCUCAGGGACAUAGCCUCGAACCAUCACCGGAAGGAGGCGCUCAAGCCAUAUAUGGUAAUCAUGACUCUUGAGCCCGUUGAUUCGCAUAGUUGCUAAAUUCACUCCCCUCUUCAAGUUCGCUGCAUAGCCAUCAGGGAACAUUAAAGUUUGGAACCAUUCUAGAACCUCCCUCCUUUGGGCCCUCGUCAGAAUGAAAUCGGCCUUAGGCUUCCUCCACGACUUGCCAGCUCUUGGAGGCGCCAUGUUUAGCUGUGGUCUGUUGCACAAUGUCGCUUGAUCCACUCUAGCCUUAACGUUAUCCUUUGUCUUGUCAGGAAUGUCCAUUAUUGUACCAAAAAUUGCCUCGGCGAUAUUUUUUUCCGUGUGCAUUACAUCAAUGUUAUGUGGAACAAGGAGAUCCUCAAAAUAUGGAAGCUUCCACAAGCACGACUUCUGCGUCCAAGCAUGUUGCUCGCCAUAUCCCAAAAAACCACCUUCUUCAUUAUUGAACUCAAGAGCGUCUAACUGAGCACGAACUGCGGCCCCUGUCAUCAUCGGCGGUGCGGGGGCUGUAACUACAACAUCUUUGGUAAAGUUCUUCAUGUCUCGUCUAAAUGGAUGGUCAGGAGGGAGGAAUUGUCGAUGUUUGUCGAACGAGGAAUAUUUGCCCCCUUUCGACAACCAAAUGAACUUCAAAGAUGCUUUACAUACUGGGCAUGGGAACUUCCCGUGAACACACCAUCCGGAGAAAAUCCCAUAUGCUGGCAAGUCAUGCAGUGAGUACUGGUACCAAACAUGCAUCUUGAAGUUUGUCUUUGUGGAUCGGUCAUAGGUCCAUACCCCUUCCUCCCAAGCACGGAGCAAAUCAUCAAUCAAAGGCUCCAUAUACACACUCAUAUUAUUCCCCGGAUGCUCUGGAAUUAUCAACGACAAGAAUAUAUUAUGUCGUUGAAAUAGGACGCCGGGUGGGAGAUUCAGUGGGAUAACGAAAAUGGGCCAACAGGUGUACGGGGCGGCCACCAUUCCAUAGGGAUUGAACCCAUCAGUUGCCAACGCAACGCGUACGUUACGGGCUCUAGAGCUUUUGCAGGAUAAAUCGCAUCAAAGCUUCUCCAGGCUUCAACAUCGGAUGGGUGUACCAGCUUCUCUGGAUUAUAGCGACGGCCAUUUUUGUGCCAUGUCAUCUGUUUCGCGGAUUCUUCAGUCAUGAAAAGCCGUUGGAUCCUCGGUAUGAAAGGAAGAUACCGUAGAACCUUCACAGGAAUUGCGAGCUGCUUUUUCUGACCGUCACCAUAGUCAACCUCCAGAAAUCUAGACGAUUCACACUUCACACAGUAUUUUGCUUCCGCAUACUCUUUCCUAAAUAAGAUGCAUCCCUUCGGGCAAGCAUGUAUAUGCUCGUAUGGCAUCUUAAGUGCACGAAGGAGUUUCUGUGCCUCAUACAUGCUCUUUGGCAAGAUGUGACCAACCGGGAGCAGGCUUCCAAAAACUGUCAACAUAAUAUCAAACGCGUCUCGACUCAAACUAAACUGAGACUUCACAGCCAUUAGGCGUGCAAUGGCAUCUAGCUGAGAAACCUUGGUAUGGCCGUGAAGGGGAUGCUGUGCCGCAGACAACAUUUCGUAAUAAGCCUUAGCGGUAGCCUCUGGCUCCUCCUCCCUACGUGCCUCUUCGAAGUGUGCUUCAUGAAAGUCAUUUAACAUGUCUCCCACCCCGGCAUCAUCAUCAAAUUCCUCGAUUCGUUGUCUCAAGACCUCCUCUCUCCCACGGUCAGAUUCACCAUGGUAGAUCCACCUGGUGUAGUCUGACGUAAAUCCGUUCUUCACCAGAUGUUUGCCCAUCUCCAGCUUGGUUUGCCGACGCAUGUUUCCACAUUUGCUGCAAGGACACCAAGUCGAUCGAGCUCCAUUGACACUUGCAAAUGCCCGUUCCAAGAAAGCAUCAGUCUUGUCAAGCCAUUCAUUGGUCAACGUAUUCUGACUAGUGCGACCCGUGUACAUCCACUGACGAUCCUCCAUCCUCUACCAUUUAAAUAAGUAAUACAAAAUUCACAUUGCAUAUACACGCUCCUAUAUUGUCUACUAGGUAAAGAUAGGUCCUAAUCCCACCCGAGGAUGUGUAGGUGGGUUUAGUAUCCAUGGUCUACUCCGACCCGAGAUAAAAUUUCGGCAGCACCUCCCCGCUGUUCUCCAAAUACACGUCCUUGAUAGGAGAUUGUGUAUCUAGAGAACAACAGGGAGGUGCUGCCGAAAUUUUAUCUCGGGUCGGAGUAGACCAUGGAUACUAAACCCACCUACACAUCCUUGGGCUGUCCAAAAAACGUGGACAAUUCGAAACAGAUACGAUUAUAGAUAUGCAAAGAUCUGCAUAUUUCCAACCGUAUCUCUUUCGAACGGGAGACGCCUAACUAGGUUACGUGAUAUACGAACAUUAUACGGAAAGAGAGGUGUAGCAUGCCUCACCUUGCUAUCCUGCAAAGUGAUGAGUCGAGGACAGUCCUUGUAAGCCUCUCCUGCAACAAAAGAAACAAAACACUGUUUAAGUCAAAAUUCCGGCAGCAUCUCCCCUGCACGGGGAGGUUUCCAAAACCUGCAACAUAAUAAACGGCACGAUGGCCGACAACCACAAUCUCACCAAAGAGUUGGCACGAUGGCCAACAACCACAACCACACCUCUAUUCUUUUCAACCUUUUGUAAUUUCUACUAUUCCUUCUUCUCGAAUUUUCUAAAUCCAUACCUCUAAUUUAUAAAAUAAAUGCUACCUCUCUAGUAUUUUCAACAUUUAAUUUCUAAUUUCCAAUUUUCAUGCAUACUCUAAUUUACGAUGUGUAGCGGCAACAUAAACUUACCGGAGGGGUGACGGAGGAGCGGGCACGGGGCGGCGGCGGGGGUGCGGCCUGGCGGCGACGGCGCGGGGUGGCCGAGGGUUGGGGCCGGGGGUCGGGGCCGGCUGGCGCGGGGCGGCUAGGGGCGGCCGGGGCCGGCGGCGGGCGUGUGCGGGGCAGGCCGGCAGCGGGACGCCCGGGGCCGGCGUUGGGCGGCCGGGGCAGGCCGCGGGCGGCGCGGGCCGGGGACGGCCGGGGCCGGCCGCGGGCGGCGCGGGCCGGGGGCGGCGUCGGGCGUCCGGAGCGGCGUCGGGCCGGGGCGGCGCGGGCGGCGUCGGGGCGGCGUCGGGCGGCGCGCGUGGCGGCGGGGCGGGCGGCGCGCGGCGGCGGCGUGGGGCGGGCGGCGCGGGCGGCGGCGUCGGGCGGCGGCGGUGGCGUGGGGCGGGCGGCGCGGGCGGCGGCGUGGGGCAGGCGGCGGCGUGGGGCGGGCGGCGCGGGCGGCGGCGUGGGGCAGGCGGCGGCGGCGGGCGGCGCGGGCGGUCAGCGGGACGGGCGGCCGGGGCGGCGCGUGCGUGUAUGUGUGGUUGUGUGCGUGAGGACUUAGCCGAUUGGGAUUGGGUGGAUAUCCGAAAACUUUGCCGAGUGCCCGUGAUGUAGCACUCGGCACACCCUUUGCCGAGUGCUAGAUCAGGGGCACUCGGCAAAGUGUAUUUUUUUCCCCGAAAUUCGUACUGAGGCUUACACGUGGACCCGGUGUCACCUUUGCCGAGUGCCCUUGAUCUAGCACUCGGCAUACCCUUUGCCGAGUGCUAGAUCCGGGGCACUCGGCAAAGUGUAUUUUUUUCCCCGAAUUUCGUACUGACACUGUGACGUGGACCCGGGGUGACUUUGCCGAGUGCCCUAUUUAUGACACUCGGCAAACCAUGCCUUUGCCGAGUGCCCUACUUAGCACUCGGCAAACACCUACCUAUAUUGCAUGUGCAACAACACUUUUAGUAAUUAAAAGUAUGUAAACUUUGUGUAAACCUAGUCAAAUUCACUAAACAUUGCGUAUUCCAUUUUUUUAAGUAAUAUUGUACCAUUAUUUCAUGGAUUUAUAGCUCAUAUUAAAUUUAUAUCUAUUAAAUUCAUAUACGUGCAAUUAAUGAAUAAAAAUUACCAAACGGAUCUGAAAAUUUCCCAAAAUUUGACAUGAACCUAUCUAUGUUCUCUAUAGCCUAUAAAAAAAAAUUUGGACUAAAUGAGAAUUACAUUUAUCGAUUCAUCUCAAAAUCUUACCGGAUCCUUUGAACUUCUACGAAUCUUCUCCGGAGAUGCUUCGAAUUCUAAACAUCAUAUGUCAAAACUUGUGCGAAACCUUGUCAAUUUUUUACCACAGCCUCUGCAUACGAAAUCAUAGCAUCUUGCAAAAUCUCAUGAUUUUCAAACUUCGUUUGUAUUUUUGAGAAUUAAACAAUCAUUUGGCCACACGUUCGUAGUCGUGUUUCCUUAGCAAAAUGUUCGAAAUUUCUUUUCAUUUUCUGGGUGAGACCUCAAUUUAGACUCACUAACAUGAAUAUCAUUUUUCCACUCAUAUUAUUCCAUUAUUCCAACCACCUGCAGUUCAAAUUUGACUUAAAUCAAAAAAUUACUCUAAAUGAAAUUAAUUGAUUAAAUAUAGCAAACAAAACAAAAAAUAGUCCAUCUUCUACCAUGCAGUGACAAAUGCCAUACAUGUGGAGUGUAAAAAGUUUGGGGGGUGGAGGAGGGGAAAAAAAUUAUUUUUGCCGAGUGUGUCAAAAGACACUCGGCAAAGACUAUAGUUUGCCGAGUGUCCCAUCAUGACACUCGGCAAACUAGUGCCUUUGCCGAGUGUGUCAAAAGACACUCGGCAAAGACUAUAGUUUGCCGAGUGUCCCAUCAUGACACUCGGCAAACUAGUGCCUUUGCCGAGUGCCCCAUCAUGACACUCGGCAAAGACUAACGUCCGUCACGGAGUGGCGCCGCCGGCAGCACGGGGAAGUCACGUGGGCGUCAGUUUGCCGAGUGUGAAAGUUUGCCGAGUGCCUGUUGGGUGUUUGCCGAGUGUUUUUUGGGUGGCACUCGGCAAACCGGUCUUUCGCCGAGUGUUUUAUUUUUGCCGUGUGUUUUUGAUGUUACACUCGGCAAAACGGUACUUCGCCGAGUGCCCGAAAAAAAGCACUCGGCGAAGUAAUUACACUCGGCGACAUUAAGCUUUCCCGUAGUGCCUGCCGCUUUCUUGAUCGAGUAAUCUAUGCCCAUGAAAGAGUUCGGUAUUUGUCUGAUCGAGGAAGACGAGGUAGCACAUUUAUGUGAAAGCAGUACUGGCGGACAUGAUGGUCGGUGGCUAUUGAUUAUCUUCCAACUCCUUUAUGCCGUUAUCAGUACUACAAAAAUCAUUUGUAGGGGUGAAGUGUUUUUUUUUAGGGUGGACCAAAAGGUCUGCCGCCCCCAGGGGCGGAGCUACAGUCAACCAUCGAUGAUUUGGUCGCGAGCUCUUAUAUCCUUCCUAGGAGAACUGCCCAUACGUUGCUACGGAUAAAAAUAAUGUUUAUAAUUACAUUAAUCAUGAUUCGUUAUUUCAAAUGUGUGACAUAUUAUCGAAUUUACGUAUCUUUCUAUGCAUUUUUCGAACAAAGAGAUAUUUUUAUAAUAAUUUUAUCAGAUUAACAUGAGACAUAAUCUUCUAUGGUAUAUUAUGUACUCUACUAUGUAAAUUUUAUGUUUGUUUGUGUAGUCUUCUACGUUGCUCGCUUUUUAUAAUAAAAGUAGAGAGAGGUGGGCGCCUGUGAACAACAAAAACCCAAAAAUGUACACAAUAAUCAAUAUAUUAUAAUUAUUAUUUUUUCCUAGAAUAAAAAUAUGGACUCAUCGAGCCCAUGAAAAGCGCAAGGAGGUGGCCCGGCAGCCCCAUCCAUCCAUCCAUUGUUAUCCACACUUGCUAAACAACUGAAUUAAAAAUAUACUUUUAUCCACACAAGAGACGGAUGAAUUGUUUGGCACUGCACUUUCUUGGACGUUGCUGUUGCUGGAAUUGGCAUUAGGAAGGCGUCGCUCGGCCGUGCAGAGGUGCCAUUGUGGCUUUGUGGAGGUGCCCCUACGUUGUGCCGGAGCGGAGCUGCAGGCAGCGUAAGCGGCCGGGUAGCACGCCACAACAUGCUGGAGACAGCGCCGAACCUCGAGCGUUCAACUGGGGCUGCUUAUAGCGCCAACAGUGCUCUGUAUCUUGCUCAGUGGAUGGGAGGACGACGGUGAGCGGCGCCUUGGAGAACUGCAAAUGCUCCUGCACACAUGCCCCAUGGGCCGGAACUGCACACUAACCCCCGCGAACGAUGGUAGUAGGGCAACAAAGCUGGCCAUGGCGCUGCUCGUUGAGCUUUCCGUGUGCGCGAACAGGCAUUUGCUAUGUUCCCUACAAAAUUAAAGGUUGUUUGAUUCAACGGUCAAAUAGUGCGAGCAUGUUAAUUGAUGCGAGUGUAUCGUGGGAACUGCAAAAGAACUACAGGGCAUCGAGGAAGCAGUGUUGUUGCUCGGAAGUACCAGCACUGACGCGCUUUCCGAUGUGUCUCCAGCUUGAGUGGCUGCGUCUGCCCGCUCGGCAGCAGUUUCACCCUAUUCUGGGCAUCUCCCCACGCGUCUUGGCCAUCGUUACCUCUGGCAUCGUUAAGGUAUGGCUUCCUUUCAGCCUCGGCCGUUUCUUUCUCCAAUGCGCGAGUGCGAGGGCGAGCUCUGGCAGCAUGCUGCCUCCCACGGCAAUCUUGCCCAGGGCGAUCAGGUUGCACUGCCUUGCGGCGGCUUCAAGCGUGUCGAUCGGUAGCAGGCACUCCGAGCUCUCCUUGUGCAUAUGGGGCACCUUCACUCACGCCACCACUGUGAGGCCUGCCAGGUGUGCCACUUCAUUGUUCACAUGGUUACAAAGGCGGUGGCGUGGAAGUGUGGUGGCACGGACGAGGAAGAAAAAAUGACAGACCACGAUGAACGCAUUAAUUUAGUCCUCCGGGCAGAUUAAGAAAAAGAUUAGGGACUUUUAUACAAAACAUGCUUGACGGUUGGAAAAAACAUAUGUCACUUUAGUAUUAGGCAAGGAUGUGAUUAUAUGAUUAUAUGGACUGAUACCGGUUAAAAGAUCAUUAUCUAAUCAACCAUUCACGUCGCCCAUAGUGUAGGCAACAGGCCAUUCUAUUGCGAUCCUCUGUCGCCUAUCGCUUCCCUUGACAAUUGAAUUUGAAGUCAGAAAUUCUUUUGUUUCAAUUUUGCUAGGUCCACUAGUUUUCUUAAAUCAGAAUCAAGUUGAAACCAGAAGAGCCUUGUUAGCUUGUUUGAUCUAUACUUCUUUGUAGCAAAUGUAAAAUCACAACUCAUAUAAUGGUUGUUUCAUAUUCGAUCUGCAAGUCUUCUUCUCAUUCACACGAUGGAUGGCCAUAGGCACAAAGAGAAUCGAAGUAGUAGACCAUAAUCACUAUAGUAAAAGCUUAAAAUCUCAAAAUAUGUCAUCAUUUAUUUUUCAUUAUGUUAUCCAUAUAACUAUAGUAUGAGUUAGAAUAUUGCAUGGACAUCAGAUCAGCUACAACAUUUCCUAGCUUCGCCCUUCGCCGCCCCUGCAGCAGCUAGCCCAAUCCAGGAAAUGUAUUUCCCAGGUGGGGGUGAGCAGACCCUGGAAAUAAGCUGGGGACGGACCAGCACGUCAACCGUCUCUGAAAAUAGCCCAUUUCAGAGGUGGGCAACUCCAUGGUCCGUCCUAGCAGAUUGAAUUACAGGAGCUGACGACACGAAGCAACACCCUGCUGCUCAACCAAAUUUUGUAUGGACAAGGCGCAAAUGAAAAGGCAAGCGGAAAGCAUAAGGUCCAUUCUGCUCCGCACAUAUAUCUUAUCUCAACCACAGCUUUCCAUGUCAUCUCCUUAGAGAAACUCCGACAGAUUGAUUUUCCACAUUCCCCUUUAUCCUCUUAUAGGGCAUUCCCUUUCACGAUUUCUGAAUUUUGAAGACUAGUGGGGCAAGAAAUUUUGUAUAGUAACAAAGAUAAUCUCAGCCCCACUUGCUACACAUACAUGCACGGUAAAUAGAAAGGGUUAUUUUCUAUGUCAAAGGCAUGCUCAGCUUCAAAGUCGUUCUGUUGUUAGCAUCGUUGUGUUGUUUCUGAUAACGUGCAGGAGGAAGCGAAAACACAGAGUAGAAAGAGGAUGAGAAAUUAAAGAAGACAAUGAAGCUCACGUUCACGUCUACAUGAGGGAGCUCUCACACAAGCAAGUCCAUUCAUCCUCUGUCUCCAUGCUGUUGAUGAUGACAUGUCACAUGUCCUUUGCCUUGACGUCGGCGGCAGGCCGGCAGCCCAAUGAACCCAUGACGAACAGCAUGAGCAUGACCAGCUAACUUCAUUGCUGAGUACGACAUGUGGUUAUCCUUGCUAUAACUAAUGUUGGUCAGAAGAAGAAGCUGCUAUAAAGUUGUUCUGAAGACGCUGAGUUCUAGGCGUACGCAAGCCCCGGUUGAUUGCCUGCGAAGUUUGGAACCUUCGUUUCCAGGAUUAAGCUGUAAAUCUCCGAUAGACUCUCUUUAUAUCUCUUUAUGUGAUACUGUUACUGUUAUUCACUGAUGAUGUGACUAUAUGUAUGAAACUUGAUCAUGUCAUACAUACAGUUAGCACUUGGUUUUGCUGUUCUAAAAUCAGAUGUGACACCUACGAACCCAUGACGAACAGCAUGAGCGUAACCAGCUAACUUCAUUGCUGCUGCCUUUCGUAGAUGUUGGUGAACAUGACGUGUCUUUCAUCUCCACGAUGGCGACGGAUCCAAAGAUCAAAGAACAUGCAUCAACGCGAUCCGUAUGGCGUGUUUUCUGGUAUUUCCACCCCAUGAUGUAACGCCGACCGGGUUCCAUACGAGGCCUACGGCCAGUCUGUUCACUUUCAUCAUGUGCUCCGAUGAGAGUUCAUCACCGUGAUAAAAGACGGAGACGAGGGCACACAGUCGUAGCUGCAAGUAAGGCCAACAGGCUCAAGGCCAUGGCUUUACAGCCAGCAGUCUUGCCUUGCAUGCACUCACGGACUAUUACCGGACUAGCAAUUGGUACUUUGACGCACUACAUGGACCCUUACAAAAUUAAAAAAAUGAACGUCAACAAGCAAAUGAAACUGCAUGAACUGAAGUAAGCUAUUUCAUCCCUGAUGCCUUCCAUGCCUAUGGAUGUACCGCGUGCUCGAGUAAGCUAUGCUUGCAGAUGGAUCUUAAACCUGAUGUCAAAUUGUGGAUAAUUGAAAGAGUUUGCUGUUUGUCUGCUUUAGGGAAGAUGGGUAGCACGUUUAUAUGCCAUUAAUUCUCAUGAAAGAGUGCAUAUACCAUGUUUGUCGCAGCAAGAUGAGGCUGUAGAGUAGUAGACGUGUAGAACAAUGGUACAGGUUGUAUGAAUAAUUUAUUGAAGGGAAUCAUAGACGCCACAGCCACUGAAGCUGUUGGGGCAUGAUUAGCCAAUGGUCUAAUUCCUGAUAUCUCCGUAUCCUAAUUUUCUGAAGCCUUACGGACUCUACCCUCCUCACUUCAUAUAUAUUAGUGUUUAUAAUAGCGGUUUUAUAAGAAGUGCUGAAGGUAUUGGUCCUGCUAUAUCUUGCUUCCACUACCGGAUUUGUGUACGAAAUAUUAAUUCUUGAGAUUUGUCAAUGAUUUUAGGACGCAAUGAUACCUUCAACUACCGGAUUGUAUAUAUAAGUUAGUCUUAGCCAGUUAUAUAUUCGAGGAGGAAGCACGCAUUAAAUAAUAAAUAACUCAUGUUGAUUCAAUUGGCAACCUGGCCUCUAAAAAGAAAAGGACUCUGUUCUCAAAAAAUGAAAAAAAGUAGCCUGCUAAUAACAAUGUCGACACUUUACAUCUGAGCAGCUAGCUCCGUGAUGCUUUAUCUGGCUAGUGAACUACCUACCUAUAUUAUUUAAACAUUUUUGCUGCCUAUAAAUUGGGCAUCAUUUCAGCGGACCACCACAGCACCUGAGCUUGCCAUCUUUUCCUGUUCUAUCUCACUCAUUUGUCCUGUAGCUACUAGCUAAGCCACCAUAUCAUCCAUGGCUUCCGGUGCCUCCACCACGUUGAAGAUUGCCUCUAUCGCCGCUUGCAUCCUGCUGGUUCUGCUGUCCAAUGGCCACCCUACAGUGGCAACCGUUGAUUGUACUGCGGCUUGCAAAGAGCCGUGCGAGAGCUUUUCUAAGGGAUUCUGCGCGGGUGGAGCCACCAGCGGUUGUGCGACUAAGGCAGCAGCUACAGCAUGCCGCAAUUCGGCGUUCUCGCAGUGUGCGAACAACUGCUACACAGUUUGCACCGCCGGGACCAUCGCGCCUUGCGCUUGAAGAUGCAUUUGUGUUCCUACUUCCACAUUAUUGUUACUAGUGAGUGUGUGCAAGCAGGCCUGCCGUCCACGGGAGGAGGCACGCAAGCACGCAUGAUAAGCCACUGUCGUUUUUCCACUUUAUCAUUUACUUAUUGAAGGCAAUGUACGUGCCUAGCUCCUGUGUGGUUGAGCAUGUCAUCUUGGAAUUUUGUCCAAAGUUUAACAUACCAUGUUGUAUUGUUGUGUAUGGGUAUCAAUAUAAUUUAUCAACUAUUUUUCGUUUACCAUAGACAUUUCUAUGUUUAUUUGCAAGGGUUAGGGAAAUUUGUCCUUGAUAGUGUACUAACCGCGUCUGCCAACUGAACAGAUCAACUUUCUCAACAGCCUAUCUCCUACUUGAAAAAAUAUUCGCUUUAGAAAUGGUUUGUUUCUUUUCUGUGUAGCUCUAUCACCCAUCACCGUGAGGGUUACAAAACUCGGCGCAAGGGUUCCAAGCUGUGGCGCCACAAACCACAUAAGCUGUGGCGCAAGGGUUCUAGCUGGCUAGUCACAAACAACUAUUUCAUCCCGGAUGUCUUCCAUGCCCAUGGAGCUGCCGCUUUCUUGAUCGAGUAAUCUAUGCGCAUGAACGAGUUCGGUAUUUGUCUGAUCGAGGAAGACGAGGUAGCACAUUUAUGUGAAAGCAGUACUGGCGGACAUGAUGGUCGGUGGCCUAUUGAUUAUCUUCCAACUCCUUUAUGCCAUUAUCAGUACUACAGAAAUCAUUUGUAGGGGUGAAGUGUUUUUUUUUAGGGUGGACCAAAAGGUCUGCCGCCCCCAGGGGCGGAGCUAUAGUCAACCAUCGAUGAUUUGGUCGCGAGCUCUUAUAUCCUUCCCAGGAGCCCAUACGUUGCUACGGAUGAAAAUAAUGUAUAUAAUUACAUUAAUCAUGAUUCGUUAUUUCAAAUGUGUGACAUAUUAUCGAAUUUACGUAUCUUUCUAUGCAUUUUUCGAACAAAGAGAUAUUUUUAUAAUAAUUUUAUCAGAGUAACAUUAGACAUAAUCUUCUAUGGUAUAUUAUGUACUCUAGUAUGUAAAUCUUAUGUUUGUUUGUGUAGUCUUCUACGUUGCUCGCUUUUUAUAAUAAAAGUAGAGAGAGGUGUGCGCCUGUGAACAACAAAAACCCCAAAAUGUAGACAAUAAUAAAUAUAUUAUAUUUAUUAUUUUUUCCUAGAAUAAAAAUAUGGACUCAUCGAGCCCAUGACAAGCGCAAGGAGGUGGUCCGGCAGCCCCAUCCAUCCAUCCAUUGUUAUCCACACUUGCUAAACAAAUGAAUUAAAAACAUAAUUUUAUCCACACAAGAGACGGAUGAAUUGUUUGGUACUGCACUUUCUUAGACGUUGCUGUUGCUGGAUUGGGCAUUAGGAAGGCGUCGCUCGGCUGUGCAGAGGUGCCAUUGGGGCUUUGUGGAGGCACCCCUACGUUGUGUCGGAGCGGAGCUACAGGCAGCGUAAGCGGCCGGGUAGCACGCCACAACAUGCUAGAGACAGCGCCGAGCCUUGAGCCUUCGACUGGGGCUGCUUAUAGCGCCAACACCGCUCUGUAUCUUGCUCAGUGGAUGGGCGGACGACGGCGAGCGGCGCCUAGGAGAACUGCAAAUGCUCCUGCACACAUGCCCCAUGGGCCGGAACUGCACACUAACCCCCGCGAACGAUGGUAGUAGGGCAACAAAGCUGGCCAUGGCGCUGCUCGUUGAGCUUUCCGUGUGCGCGAACAGGCAUUUGAUAUAUUCCCUACAAAAUUAAAGGUUGUUUGAUUCAACGGUCAAAUAGUGCGAGCAUGUUAAUUGAUGCGAGUGUAUUGUGGGAACUGCCAAGGAACUGCAGGGCAUCGAGCAAGCAGUGGUGUUGCUCGGAAGUACCAGCACUGACGCGCUUUCUGAUGUGUCUCCAGCGGGGGUGGCAGCGUCUGCCUGCUCGGCAGCAGUUUCACCCUAUUCUGGGCAUCUCCCCACGCGUCUUGGCCAUCAUUACCUCUGGCAUUGUUAAGGUAUGGCUUCCUUUCAGCGUCGGCCGUUUCUUUCUCCAAUGACCGGUUAAAAGAUCAUUAUCUAAUCAACCAUUCACGUCGCCCAUAGUGUAGGCAACAGGCUAUUCUAUUGCGAUCCGCUGUCGCCUAUCGCUUCCCUUCAGAAUUUGAAGUCAGAAAUUCUUUUGUUUCAAUUUUGCUAGCUCCACUAGUUUUCUUAAAUCAGAAUCAAGUUGAAACCAGAAGAGCCUUGUUAGCUUGUUUGAUCUAUACUUCGUUGUAGCAAAUGUAAAAUGACAACUCAUAUAAUGGUUGUUUCAUAUUCUAUCUGCAAGUCUUCUUCUCAUUCACACGAUGGAUGGCCAUAGGCACAAAGAGAAUUGAAGUAGUAGACCAUAAUCAAUAUAGUAAAAGCUUAAAAUCUCAAAAUAUGUCAUCAUUUAUUUUUCAUUAUGUUAUCCAUAGAACUAUAGUAUGAGUUAGAAUAUUGCAUGGACAUCAGAUCAGCUACAACAUUUCCUAGCUUCGCCCUUCGCCGCCCCUGCAGCAGCUAGCCCAAUCCAGGAAAUGUAUUUCCCAGGUGGGGGUGAGCUGGAAAUAAGCUGGGGACGGACCAGCACGUCAACCGUCUCUGAAAAUAGCCCAUUUCAGAGGUGGGCAACUCCAUGGUCCGUCCUAGCAGAUUGAAUUACAGGAGCAGACGACACGAAGCAUCACCCUGCUGCUCAACCAAAUUUUGUAUGGACAACGCGCAAAUGAAAAGGCAAGCGGAAAGCAUAAGGUCCAUUCUGCUCCGCACAUAUAUCUUAUCUCAACCACAGCUUUCCAUGUCAUCUCCUUAGAGAAACUCCGACAGAUUGAUUUUCCACAUUCCCCUUUAUCCUCUUAUAGGGCAUUCCCUUUCACGAUUUCUGAAUUUUGAAGACUAGUGCGGCAAGAAAUUUUGUAUAGUAACAAAGAUAAUCUCAGCCCCACUUGCUACACAUACAUGCACGGUAAAUAGAAAUGGUCAUUUUCUAUGUCUAAGGCAUGCUCAGCUUCAAAGUCGUUCUGUUGUUAGCAUCGUUGUGUUGUUUCUGAUAACGUGCAGGAGGAAGCCAAAACACAGAGUAGAAAGAGGAUGAGAAAUUAAAGAAGACAAUGAAGCUCACGUUCACGUCUACAUGAGGGAGCUCUCACACAAGCAAGUCCAUUCAUCCUCUGUCUCCAUGCUGUUGAUGAUGACAUGUCACAUGUCCUUUGCCUUGACGUCGGCGGCAGGCCGGCAGCCCAAUGAACCCAUGACGAACAGCAUGAGCAUGACCAGCUAACUUCAUUGCUGAGUACGACAUGUGGUUAUCCUUGCUAUAACUAAUGUUGGUCAGAAGAAGAAGCUGCUAUAAAGUUGUUCUGAAGACGCUGAGUUCUAGGCGUACGCAAGCCCCGGUUGAUUGCCUGCGAAGUUUGGAACCUUCGUUUCCAGGAUUAAGCUGUAAAUCUCCGAUAGACUCUCUUUAUAUCUCUUUAUGUGAUACUGUUACUGUUAUUCACUGAUGAUGUGACUAUAUGUAUGAAACUUGAUCAUGUCAUACAUACAGUUAGCACUUGGUUUUGCUGUUCUAAAAUCAGAUGUGACACCUACGAACCCAUGACGAACAGCAUGAGCGUAACCAGCUAACUUCAUUGCUGCUGCCUUUCGUAGAUGUUGGUGAACAUGACGUGUCUUUCAUCUCCACGAUGGCGACGGAUCCAAAGAUCAAAGAACAUGCAUCAACGCGAUCCGUAUGGCGUGUUUUCUGGUAUUUCCACCCCAUGAUGUAACGCCGACCGGGUUCCAUACGAGGCCUACGGCCAGUCUGUUCACUUUCAUCAUGUGCUCCGAUGAGAGUUCAUCACCGUGAUAAAAGACGGAGACGAGGGCACACAGUCGUAGCUGCAAGUAAGGCCAACAGGCUCAAGGCCAUGGCUUUACAGCCAGCAGUCUUGCCUUGCAUGCACUCACGGACUAUUACCGGACUAGCAAUUGGUACUUUGACGCACUACAUGGACCCUUACAAAAUUAAAAAAAUGAACGUCAACAAGCAAAUGAAACUGCAUGAACUGAAGUAAGCUAUUUCAUCCCUGAUGCCUUCCAUGCCUAUGGAUGUACCGCGUGCUCGAGUAAGCUAUGCUUGCAGAUGGAUCUUAAACCUGAUGUCAAAUUGUGGAUAAUUGAAAGAGUUUGCUGUUUGUCUGCUUUAGGGAAGAUGGGUAGCACGUUUAUAUGCCAUUAAUUCUCAUGAAAGAGUGCAUAUACCAUGUUUGUCGCAGCAAGAUGAGGCUGUAGAGUAGUAGACGUGUAGAACAAUGGUACAGGUUGUAUGAAUAAUUUAUUGAAGGGAAUCAUAGACGCCACAGCCACUGAAGCUGUUGGGGCAUGAUUAGCCAAUGGUCUAAUUCCUGAUAUCUCCGUAUCCUAAUUUUCUGAAGCCUUACGGACUCUACCCUCCUCACUUCAUAUAUAUUAGUGUUUAUAAUAGCGGUUUUAUAAGAAGUGCUGAAGGUAUUGGUCCUGCUAUAUCUUGCUUCCACUACCGGAUUUGUGUACGAAAUAUUAAUUCUUGAGAUUUGUCAAUGAUUUUAGGACGCAAUGAUACCUUCAACUACCGGAUUGUAUAUAUAAGUUAGUCUUAGCCAGUUAUAUAUUCGAGGAGGAAGCACGCAUUAAAUAAUAAAUAACUCAUGUUGAUUCAAUUGGCAACCUGGCCUCUAAAAAGAAAAGGACUCUGUUCUCAAAAAAUGAAAAAAAGUAGCCUGCUAAUAACAAUGUCGACACUUUACAUCUGAGCAGCUAGCUCCGUGAUGCUUUAUCUGGCUAGUGAACUACCUACCUAUAUUAUUUAAACAUUUUUGCUGCCUAUAAAUUGGGCAUCAUUUCAGCGGACCACCACAGCACCUGAGCUUGCCAUCUUUUCCUGUUCUAUCUCACUCAUUUGUCCUGUAGCUACUAGCUAAGCCACCAUAUCAUCCAUGGCUUCCGGUGCCUCCACCACGUUGAAGAUUGCCUCUAUCGCCGCUUGCAUCCUGCUGGUUCUGCUGUCCAAUGGCCACCCUACAGUGGCAACCGUUGAUUGUACUGCGGCUUGCAAAGAGCCGUGCGAGAGCUUUUCUAAGGGAUUCUGCGCGGGUGGAGCCACCAGCGGUUGUGCGACUAAGGCAGCAGCUACAGCAUGCCGCAAUUCGGCGUUCUCGCAGUGUGCGAACAACUGCUACACAGUUUGCACCGCCGGGACCAUCGCGCCUUGCGCUUGAAGAUGCAUUUGUGUUCCUACUUCCACAUUAUUGUUACUGGUGAGUGUGUGCAAGCAGGCCUGCCGUCCACGGGAGGAGGCACGCAAGCACGCAUGAUAAGCCACUGUCGUUUUUCCACUUUAUCAUUUACUUAUUGAAGGCAAUGUACGUGCCUAGCUCCUGUGUGGUUGAGCAUGUCAUCUUGGAAUUUUGUCCAAAGUUUAACAUACCAUGUUGUAUUGUUGUGUAUGGGUAUCAAUAUAAUUUAUCAACUAUUUUUCGUUUACCAUAGACAUUUCUAUGUUUAUUUGCAAGGGUUAGGGAAAUUUGUCCUUGAUAGUGUACUAACCGCGUCUGCCAACUGAACAGAUCAACUUUCUCAACAGCCUAUCUCCUACUUGAAAAAAUAUUCGCUUUAGAAAUGGUUUGUUUCUUUUCUGUGUAGCUCUAUCACCCAUCACCGUGAGGGUUACAAAACUCGGCGCAAGGGUUCCAAGCUGUGGCGCCACAAACCACAUAAGCUGUGGCGCAAGGGUUCUAGCUGGCUAGUCACAAACAACUAUUUCAUCCCGGAUGUCUUCCAUGCCCAUGGAGCUGCCGCUUUCUUGAUCGAGUAAUCUAUGCGCAUGAACGAGUUCGGUAUUUGUCUGAUCGAGGAAGACGAGGUAGCACAUUUAUGUGAAAGCAGUACUGGCGGACAUGAUGGUCGGUGGCCUAUUGAUUAUCUUCCAACUCCUUUAUGCCAUUAUCAGUACUACAGAAAUCAUUUGUAGGGGUGAAGUGUUUUUUUUUAGGGUGGACCAAAAGGUCUGCCGCCCCCAGGGGCGGAGCUACAGUCAACCAUCGAUGAUUUGGUCGCGAGCUCUUAUAUCCUUCCCAGGAGCCCAUACGUUGCUACGGAUGAAAAUAAUGUAUAUAAUUACAUUAAUCAUGAUUCGUUAUUUCAAAUGUGUGACAUAUUAUCGAAUUUACGUAUCUUUCUAUGCAUUUUUCGAACAAAGAGAUAUUUUUAUAAUAAUUUUAUCAGAGUAACAUUAGACAUAAUCUUCUAUGGUAUAUUAUGUACUCUAGUAUGUAAAUCUUAUGUUUGUUUGUGUAGUCUUCUACGUUGCUCGCUUUUUAUAAUAAAAGUAGAGAGAGGUGUGCGCCUGUGAACAACAAAAACCCCAAAAUGUAGACAAUAAUAAAUAUAUUAUAUUUAUUAUUUUUUCCUAGAAUAAAAAUAUGGACUCAUCGAGCCCAUGACAAGCGCAAGGAGGUGGUCCGGCAGCCCCAUCCAUCCAUCCAUUGUUAUCCACACUUGCUAAACAAAUGAAUUAAAAACAUAAUUUUAUCCACACAAGAGACGGAUGAAUUGUUUGGUACUGCACUUUCUUAGACGUUGCUGUUGCUGGAUUGGGCAUUAGGAAGGCGUCGCUCGGCUGUGCAGAGGUGCCAUUGGGGCUUUGUGGAGGCACCCCUACGUUGUGUCGGAGCGGAGCUACAGGCAGCGUAAGCGGCCGGGUAGCACGCCACAACAUGCUAGAGACAGCGCCGAGCCUUGAGCCUUCGACUGGGGCUGCUUAUAGCGCCAACACCGCUCUGUAUCUUGCUCAGUGGAUGGGCGGACGACGGCGAGCGGCGCCUAGGAGAACUGCAAAUGCUCCUGCACACAUGCCCCAUGGGCCGGAACUGCACACUAACCCCCGCGAACGAUGGUAGUAGGGCAACAAAGCUGGCCAUGGCGCUGCUCGUUGAGCUUUCCGUGUGCGCGAACAGGCAUUUGAUAUAUUCCCUACAAAAUUAAAGGUUGUUUGAUUCAACGGUCAAAUAGUGCGAGCAUGUUAAUUGAUGCGAGUGUAUUGUGGGAACUGCCAAGGAACUGCAGGGCAUCGAGCAAGCAGUGGUGUUGCUCGGAAGUACCAGCACUGACGCGCUUUCUGAUGUGUCUCCAGCGGGGGUGGCAGCGUCUGCCUGCUCGGCAGCAGUUUCACCCUAUUCUGGGCAUCUCCCCACGCGUCUUGGCCAUCAUUACCUCUGGCAUUGUUAAGGUAUGGCUUCCUUUCAGCGUCGGCCGUUUCUUUCUCCAAUGACCGGUUAAAAGAUCAUUAUCUAAUCAACCAUUCACGUCGCCCAUAGUGUAGGCAACAGGCUAUUCUAUUGCGAUCCGCUGUCGCCUAUCGCUUCCCUUCAGAAUUUGAAGUCAGAAAUUCUUUUGUUUCAAUUUUGCUAGCUCCACUAGUUUUCUUAAAUCAGAAUCAAGUUGAAACCAGAAGAGCCUUGUUAGCUUGUUUGAUCUAUACUUCGUUGUAGCAAAUGUAAAAUGACAACUCAUAUAAUGGUUGUUUCAUAUUCUAUCUGCAAGUCUUCUUCUCAUUCACACGAUGGAUGGCCAUAGGCACAAAGAGAAUUGAAGUAGUAGACCAUAAUCAAUAUAGUAAAAGCUUAAAAUCUCAAAAUAUGUCAUCAUUUAUUUUUCAUUAUGUUAUCCAUAGAACUAUAGUAUGAGUUAGAAUAUUGCAUGGACAUCAGAUCAGCUACAACAUUUCCUAGCUUCGCCCUUCGCCGCCCCUGCAGCAGCUAGCCCAAUCCAGGAAAUGUAUUUCCCAGGUGGGGGUGAGCAGACCCUGGAAAUAAGCUGGGGACGGACCAGCACGUCAACCGUCUCUGAAAAUAGCCCAUUUCAGAGGUGGGCAACUCCAUGGUCCGUCCUAGCAGAUUGAAUUACAGGAGCAGACGACACGAAGCAUCACCCUGCUGCUCAACCAAAUUUUGUAUGGACAACGCGCAAAUGAAAAGGCAAGCGGAAAGCAUAAGGUCCAUUCUGCUCCGCACAUAUAUCUUAUCUCAACCACAGCUUUCCAUGUCAUCUCCUUAGAGAAACUCCGACAGAUUGAUUUUCCACAUUCCCCUUUAUCCUCUUAUAGGGCAUUCCCUUUCACGAUUUCUGAAUUUUGAAGACUAGUGCGGCAAGAAAUUUUGUAUAGUAACAAAGAUAAUCUCAGGCCCACUUGCUACACAUACAUGCACGGUAAAUAGAAAUGGUCAUUUUCUAUGUCUAAGGCAUGCUCAGCUUCAAAGUCGUUCUGUUGUUAGCAUCGUUGUGUUGUUUCUGAUAACGUGCAGGAGGAAGCCAAAACACAGAGUAGAAAGAGGAUGAGAAAUUAAAGAAGACAAUGAAGCUCACGUUCACGUCUACAUGAGGGAGCUCUCACACAAGCAAGUCCAUUCAUCCUCUGUCUCCAUGCUGUUGAUGAUAACAUAUCACAUGUCCUUUGCCUUGACGUCGGCGGCAGGCUGGCAGCCCAAUGAACCCAUGACGAACAGCAUGAGCAUGACCAGCUAACUUCAUUGCUGAGUACGACAUGUGGUUAUCCUUGCUAUAACUAAUGUUGGUCAGAAGAAGAAGCUGCUAUAAAGUUGUUCUGAAGACGCUGAGUUCUAGGCGUACGCAAGCCCCGGUUGAUUGCCUGCGAGGUUUGGAACCUUCGUUUCCAGGAUAAAGCUGUAAAUCUCUGAUAGACUCUCUUUAUAUCUCUUUAUGUGAUACUAUUACUGUUAUUCACUGAUGAUGUGACUAUAUGUAUGAAACUUGAUCAUGUCAUACAUACAGUUAGCACUUGGUUUUGCUGUUCUAAAAUCAGAUGUGACACCUACGAACCCAUGACGAACAGCAUGAGCGUAACCAGCUAACUUCAUUGCUGCUGCCUUUCGUAGAUGUUGGUGAACAUGACGUGUCUUUCAUCUCCACGAUGGCGACGGAUCCAAAGAUCGAAGAACAUGCAUCAACGCGAUCCGUAUGGCGUGUUUUCUGGUAUUUCCACCCCAUGAUGUAACGCCGACCAGGUUCCAUACGAGGCCUACGGCCACUCUGUUCACUUUCAUCACGUGCUCCGAUGAGAGUUCAUCACCGUGAUAAAAGACGGAGAUGAGGGCACACAGUCGUAGCUGCAAGUAAGGCCAACAGGCUCAAGGCCAUGGCUUUACAGCCAGCAGUCUUGCCUUGCAUGCACUCACGGACUAUUACCGGACUAGCAAUUGGUACUUUGACGCACUACAUGGACCCUUACAAAUUAAAAAAAUGAACGUCAACAAGCAAAUGAAACUGCAUGAACUGAAGUAGGGAAAUGAAGACCACGUACAGUUCUUAUUGAAGCUGAAAUGUAUGUCAUAAAAGUAUUAUUGUUAGAUUAAAGUCAAUUUAAAUAUUUAAACGAGUAACGAGGGCUCUGAUUAGUAGCAGGUGUAGUGAGGCCCUCCAAUAGACCAAUCAACGAUUUUUAGUUCCAACUGUUUAUAUGGUAAGUUCGGAUAUUUAAUUAAUAAAUUGAAGUUGCCUUAAAAUAUGCAUAGUAAAUCACAAGACCAAAGUGGAAUAACCAUUAGACAACUAAUAAAACCAUCUUUAAGUUUUUCUCUACUUUUAGCAAUAUUGCUUAGGUUUUCUAUUUCGUCUAAAUAUAUCUUAAGCGGCUCAUAUGUCCGAAUUACCCACACAGUGAAUAAAUGUCAUUCCAGUUCAAGGAUUCAUGUGCAGUUGUCACACACUAGUGUGAACCCAUCAAGUGUGUGUCUUGCUUCCCUUUUCAAUCAACAAGCUACCUCCCUGAUUUGAAUAUAAUAAACUUAAAUGCUUCAGUUUCUAUGGUCCAUUGUUAUGUGAUGGAUAUGAAAAAUGAAAAAUAUAGCCUACAAUGUUCAAAAUGCAUCUGAAGUACUAGGGUAUAAAAUAAGCUCACUGCCAUCCAAGUACAAGGGUUAACAACUAGAAAUAUAACCUUUAUUGCUAUCUGUAAAGAAAAUAUGCCUGUUGAAUUACAUGUUCGGGAAAGGUGAAUGCACGGAUUGAUGGCUACUAUUAGCUAAUGUUGUUGUCUUUUUUGUUAAUAACUAGGUUUCCAAUGCCAAACUCUGCGUAAGGGUUCAGCAACUGGCUACAUAUUGGAAAGGAGUUAGUGUUGGUGGCUAGCCCUCAUUAGAGAUAACUAUUUCAUCCCUGAUGCCUUCCAUGCCUAUGGAUGUACCGCGUGCUCGAGUAAGCUAUGCUUGCAGAUGGAUCUUAAACCUGGUGUCAAAUUGUGGAUAAUUGAAAGAGUUUGCUGUUUGCCUGCUUUAGGGAAGAUGGGUAGCACGUUUAUAUGCCAUUAUUUCUCAUGAAAGCGUGCAUAUACCAUGUUUGUCGGAGCAAGAUGAGGCUGUAGAGUAGUAGACGUGUAGAACAAUGAUACAGGUUGUAUGAAUAAUUUAUCGAAGGGGAUCAUAGACGCCACAGCCACUGAAGCUGUUGAGGCAUGAUUAGUCAAUGGUCUAAUUCCUGAUAUCUCCGUAUCCUGAUUCUCUGAAGCCUUACGGACUCUACCCUCAUCACUUCAUGUAUAUUAGUGUUUAUAAUAGCGGUUUUAUAACAAGUGCUGAAGGUAUUGGUCCUGCUAUAUCUUGCUUCCACUACCGGAUUUGUGUACAAAAUAUUAAUUCUUGAGAUUUGUCAAUGAUUUUAGGAAGCAAUGAUACCUUCAACUACCGGAUUGCAUAUAUAAGUUAGUCUUAGCCAGUUAUAUAUCAGAGGAGGAAGCACGCAUUAAAUAAUAAAUAACUCAUGUUGAUUCAACUGGUAACCUGGCCUAUGUCACUCGGAUACACCGUUUCUCUGAGGUGUUCCAGGAGGCAUAAGUUGUGGAACAAUUCCGCAACUCUUUAGAUGAUUGCUAAACUCAUCAGAUCGUAAGGCCUUAAUUUUUUUGCGAUGCUGAUUUUCAACUUCAUUCUGAAAUUCCUUGAACUUUUCAAAGGUUUCGGACUUGUACCUCAUCAAGUAGACAUAGCCAUAUCUACUAAAAUCAUCAGUGAAAGUUAUGAAGUAUUGGAAUCCUCCUCUAACCUUCGUGCUCAUUGGUCCGCAUACAUCACUAUGUACGAGUUUCAACAAGUCUACUGCUCUCUCAGGAAAUCUUGUGAAAGGUGUCUUGGUCAUCUUGCCUAGCAAGCAAGCCUCACAUAUCUCGUAUGAUUCAAAAUCAAACGAAGUUAGAAGUCCAUCAGAAUGGAGCUUUUUCAUGCGCUUUUCACUUAUAUGACCCAAAUGACAAUGCCACAAGUAGGUAGGACUCAAAUCAUUAGGCCGAGGCCUUUUAGCACUUACGUUACAGACAGGUGAACCAUGAAGAUUUAAAACAAAUAAUCCAUUCACAAUGGGCGCAAAAGCCAUAAACAUAUCAUUCUUAGAGAUCACACAACCAUUGUUUUCACUCGCAAAUCAAUAACCAUCCUUCAUCAAGCAUGAAGGAGACAAAAUGUUUCGACUUAAGCUAGGAAUGAAAUAACAAUUAUUCAACUCCAUAAUAAAUCCUGACAGGAGGUGGAGUUGCAUCGUCCCGACGGUCAACGCAGCAACUUCUUGCAUUAUUGCCCACGCGGAAAUCAACUUCUCCUCUUUCCACACUUCUACUUCUUAUCAUUCCCUGCAUCGAAUUGCAAAUAUGAGCAACCGAUCUGGUAUCAAAUACCCAAGAAUUAAUAAUUAUCUAUAACAUUAACAACAAGCGUACCUGAGGUAGAAGUAUUCUUACUUCCACCAUUCUUCAACGAAGCUAGGUAUUGCUUGCAGUUUCUCUUCCAGUGACCAGGUUCGUGACAAUAAAAGCACUCUUUGUCUGGAGUAGGCCCAGCUUUAGCCUUGGGCGCUGGGUUUGGCUUAGACACUCCAGCCUUACCCUUCUUCUUCCAAAAAUUGCCCUUCUUAUUGAAGGUAGGCUUGUUCUGUACAGCCAUCACAUGGUUGGUACUAGCGCUUUUCUUAAUGUCUACCUCUGCUGUCUUGAGCAUACCAUAUAGUAUAUUCAGACCCUUCUCCGUCCCAUGCAUAUGGUAGUUCGAGAUGAAGUUCCCAUAGCUAGGCGGAAGAGAUGAAAGAAUGAAGUCAGUGGCCAACUCUUUGCCCAUUGGGAAGCCCAUCUUCUCCAAUCGCUGAGUGUAACCAACCAUCUUGAUUACAUUUGGUCCUACUGCUGCGCCUUCUGCUAGCUUGCACUCCAGAAAGGCUUUGGACACAUUGAACCUUUCAGUCCUAGCCUGUGUCUAGAACAUGUCCUUGAGCGCCACGAUCAUAUCGUGUGCCUCAUGAUUUGUUUCGAACUGCAUCUGCAGCUCGGGUUCCAUGCAAGCAAGCAUAAGGCAGCUUACCUCAAGAUUAGCAUCAAAUGCCUUCUUGUAAGCAGCCUUAACGGCAGCAGAUGAAUCAUCAGCAGGUACUGGUGGUAGUGGGGUGUCUAGAACAUCUUCCUUUUUAUCGGCCCUGAGAACAAUUCUCAGGUUACGGAUCCAAUCCGAGUAGUUUGUUCCAUUCAACUUGUCCUCUCAAGGACCGAACGCAAAGCAAAUGGUGUGGUGUUGCUAGGUGCCAUUUAAUCUACAACAAAAGUAAUGCAAAAUACACUAAGACAAACAUAUCCAUGAUAGAGCAAAUCACAUUAAACUAUGUUAACAGAAUCUACUCCCACUAAAAUCAAUAUCCCUCUAUUGAUACUUAGUGAUUCAGGAUCCACAACUAACAAGUCUACUAGUGAGCUUUAGCAUCACCGCUAGCAAACAAAGUAGAUCGGUAAGCAACUUUUCCUAAUCAUAUCACAUAUGACUCCUGUUGUUGGGUGACAUCUCCAUGUCUCGGCGCCCAACCUUUAUGCCCCAAGGUCCUUAAACGUUAAGUUAACCUUGUUAAGCAAACCAACCCUUAUGCAUGUAAGUGUGCGACACAAACCCGUCUAAUCAAGAAAAACUAGUGGCACCCUAAUUUCAUAGACCCACCACUAAUUGUACAAGACAUGGGACGGUGCAAGUUUUAGUUGGGAGGGCAUACUAACUUAAACUUUGUGAGGGAUCGUUCUACUUCUAACAUCACAGCAUGCAGAAAGUAAAACAUAAACAGAAUAGCAUUCACACAGUUGUGACACAGUAUGGCCCGUUUUCUUAUGGUGAUCUUCAUCUCCAUAGAACCUGUUCACCAUGGUGAUCUCCAUCUCCAUGUUCCAUGUGCGCCAUCCUCUUGGUGAUGAGUCCUCCAAGAACUAGAACAUGCUAUUACGCCUAAUAGCUAGUAAAAAGCUAGUAAUGAAGAUUACAUAGUUGGUUGGAUCAUCACAGAUUGGUACGCAGACCAUUAAAUACAUUAAGGUGACAACACAUAUGGCUCCUGCCGUGUUGCCGUACGCACGACACGCAGGUCACGAAUGAGUUACACACAUGCAUCACAUACACAAAGGGGCCAUACUGAUCACAAGAUACAUACAUCUUGCAAAACAGAGUUAAGCGUCCUAACGUUCCAAACUUUGGAGGCCCGAAACUCCAUCUUCCAAGACAAAUUUGGGAAAUCUAAUUUCGCCGAAAAUGGCGAAGCGGUCGAAUUUCAUGUGUAACUUUUUCUGUAGAUCAAUUUUUAUAUAAAAUUCGCCCCGAUCCGAGAUCGUAUCGAAAAGUUACGGCUGAUUUACCGAAGCAUACGCACACGGCAAAAUCCCGACCCCGGCAGUAGAUCCCAUCUACUAUUGCACAUCUCAUGUGCCUGGCGUAUGAACCUAGAUUUCGAUUCGACCAAUCACAUUGAUCUUCGCACACUGCAACUGGAAUUACGUGUAUCACCUAACUCCGAUGGUGGAAACCCGACCGGUAGGAGUAUGUCGUUACACUACCAUAGCAGCAAGAACAGGAAACCAGGACAGAGAUCAAAUUGAAAACUCGCAUAUCUCCAUAUGCACACAUCCCGAAUCCAAAACUAAACAGCUACGGCUCUGAUACCACUGUCGGGAUACGAGGUAGGCUACACUAGCGCAAAUCAAAAAUUUUCUACCGCGUAAACCAGGGAAACUGCCGUAUAAGGAUCACGGGAUUACCACUCGACGCACUACUAGUGCGGAAGAUGUAGAUUCACGUCGAUGCAGCGAAGUCGAUCAACGUAGUCGUACGUAGUCGAUCACGUCGACGUCCAACAGCUCCUCAGCAGCUCGUCCACGUGCAGCAAGAUCUCCCUCGUGCCGCGGCUUGUCGGCGGCUCGUCACGGCUCGUCGGCGGCUCGUCCAAGUGCUGCAGGCGCAACACCUCCAAGGUAUCCACACGUGCAGGGAGGAAGCGUCACAAGCCGGACUGCUAGAUCCGUGAGUUGCAACAGGCGUGGGAGGCGCGGCUGAUGAGUUUCGUCAAAAAGGUGUAAACCUUAGGGCGCCCCCACCCCUCUAUUUAUAGAGGUUCCUAACGGGCCUCUGGGUCCAAGGCCCAUUAGUACUUCUAAACCUAAUCCAACUCGGAUCACAUCCGAAUUGGGCUUCCAGCCCCUUAAGUGUGUGACCCUAUGGGUUCGGAUACGUAUAGACAUGGCCCGAGUACUCUUACUCGGCCCAAUAGUCGGUAGCGGCCUCUAGCAAGACGUGCCAACUCCUAUAUGCACACGAAGAUCAUAUCAGACGAACCAUCACAACAUUAUAUACAUGCUAUUCCCUUUGCCUCACAAUAUUUGGUCUAGCUUCAAGCCGACCGCUCUUUCUCGAUCCUAUGAUUCGGAAUCCCUUUGUAGGUUAACUCUUAACCGUACGUAGCAUGGCCAUGCAUUUUUGGAUCCGAUCACUCGAGGGGCCCAGAGAUAUCACUCUCAAUCAGAGAGGGGAAAAUCCCAUCUUGAUUAACCAUGUCUCAUAGCAUGCUUCUUGACAAACCCGAAAGCUACCUUUAUAACUACCCUGUUACGGCGUAGCGUUUGAUAGCCUCUAAGUAGGUCGAUCCACAUCUUGAAUACAUGCGACAAUCUCAGGUCUAAGGACAAAGCGUAUAUGAUGUUUAAAGAGAGAACUACUUCUCAUGUUGGGUCAGUCCUAGCACAUGUCUCCACAUGAACCCACAUUAUUAGUUCAACAUCUCCAUGUCCAUGACUUGUGAAACAUAGUCAUCAACUAAUACAUGUGCUAGUCUAAUAUUCAUGUGUGUCCUCACAUGAACUCCGACUAGGGACAACUUUAGAAUAACCAUACAAGUAAAGAGUUUCACACACAAUUCAUGUAAUUGCAAAUCAAUUCAAGUAGUCUUUAAUGGAUAUUCAAGGAACACAAAAUAAAUCAUGGAUACAAAUGGAAUAUCAUCAUCUCUAUGAUUGCCUCUAGGGCAUACCUCCAACAAUUUGCAGGGUCAUGCACCAUGCGUGCGGCGACCCAUCCAUCGGACAGCGCAUGGCAUUGCACAAGACGUACUGGGAGGAUAUGCAGUGGAAUGAGCCAGACAGGUACUACGCCCUCCUCGCUCUGCUAGUUGGUGUGGGGAACCUGGAGGCCUGCACCAUCAAAGGGAUUGUAGAUUUCUUCGCCGUCCCCCGGCCAUCCCUCCAAAAGCUUUCCCGCACCACACCGGGUGGGCAUGAUAUGAGGGCCUAUCUUUACGCCCUGAUGAUAUACAGGAACAACAGUGCAAUCAUGGACGAUGACAUUGCGAAGAGAUAAAUCUACCACGUCGAAUGCAAGGAUGGUUCGGCAGUGAGCGGGAGCACAAGCUCAAAGAAGCUGCGCAACGAUGCCUGUCAGGUGUGCCGCGAGGAGGCCGCCUACCUAGUCAAUAGAGUUACAUGGGGCGGGCAUGGUGAUCCGCUUUCACCGGCACCAGUUUGAGGCGACUUCCCUUGCAUUGGAGGCGACUGCGGCAAGGUUAAGGGCUGGGAACAAGCUACGCUUUAUUGCAACGAGGACUAUAGGAUACGCCAUGAAAUUGUAGCGUUCAAAAGGAGAAUGGAGAUCGAUAACUAAUUGUAGGAUUUCUUUUGCUUUUGCCUAAUGUUGUCCAUGACUCGUUGGCUGAACUUGUAGUGCUGGAACUAUGUUUGUGGUUAAUUUGGCUCAACUUGUAGUCACUACAAGGUUUUGUCUAUCCAAUGGAGUUGUAUUUUCGCAAUGUGUUUUUGUGUCUAAGCACACCUUACACCUCCCUACAUAUAGGUGUUAUGAUGCACAUAUAAAAAGAACCCACACUUGGGUACCUUCAUUUGUCCUUGGAUUUCAAUUGUGGGACCCACUACAUCCCGCUAGGUUGUGCCUCAAAUUUUUAGUACUAGUGCAAUGUUUCCUCCAUUCUUUUUUUCCUAAACCCUCAAAUAUAUCUCAGCCUCUACCCCACUUGCCCCCAAAACUGCGCUGGCUGCGUUAGGGGGGGCAACGGUUCCUCUCUGCCCAAGCGACUCCAUCCAUGGCAACUCCUCCUUCCAUGGCGACUCCUUCCAUGGCCGGCGAUGGAGAACCCAGCACACGACCAAGUACGGUCAGAGUCGAGGAAGCCGAUAUUGAAAACAAAUGUUACAGGUUCGCAUCCACCUUUAACGCCUUCUAGGUUAGGGCAGAAAAUUUCUACACAUUAAUUGCGUACAAUCGAUUUGAUGCUGCCUCAUUGGCGCAUGCUUUUAUAAAUCACAGAUCUGAUUACUACUGAUUAGUUUUUCGCAUAGCACUAGUAGUACUACAUCUUCAUUCAUUGAUGCAAGGGUUUUGAUAUCUAUGUGCACAUACAGAUCAGAGGAGUUGACAGGCUAGAUGGAUGUGGCAGGUAAUGGUACAGUGCCUGGGGGCAGAAGGACAAGAUGUGCGCCUGGUUAAGGUAAUAUUGAUAGCGCACAAUUAGACUUUGUCAGCUUGUGGGAUUACAAAGAUCAACUUCGAUAUGGUGCGUGGGACUACUACUACUACAAGAAGAGAAUAGGAAAUGCUGAUGCAUCUGUUCAGUCAAUUGGUUACCCCAAAGAUGUAGAGUGUAUGUUUCAGUACAUGGAUUCAUCUGAAGAAAGGAAACUAAGGUUGAUACUAUCAAAACAAGAAUUGGUUGGAGCUGUCAACAUUACACCCCUGAAACAACCAAGGGUGAAUGAGUCUGAUGAUGUUACUGAUGCUGAUACUAGUAAUGAUGAAUCACUUGAUGAAUACAAAGAUUGUCUUCAAGACCAAGACCUAGAUUGUGGUAUGUAUGCUGUUUGUACUACACUAUGCACAUGUGUCUAUAACUGUACAAUGUACUCACAUAGUUGUGUUGGUAACUUGCAGAUCUAUACGAUAACUACAGGGAAGAAAUAGUAAAAACAUACUCUAAAUGGUUAAGGCAGAAAGGCCUUAUGAGAGAUAUUUGUAAAUCCUUUUUCCUCUGAACUAAUUCUUAUUUUUGAUGAAAAUUGUACAAUCCUCUAAGUGCACUUGUUUUUUAUUUGUUCAGUGGCUUAUAAUAGAGGUCAAGCAAAGCUUACAGAAGUACGUGAUGAGAGCAAUAGUAGUAGCGCCACGCCACCAUCACAAUGGCCAGCACAUGCUAGGAAACCAAAGCAGACAACAGGUUCUAAAAGCUUCACACCUUCUGCAGUUUUUUAUGCUCUUAUUGUGCACGACUUAAUGUAAGUUUCUAUUUUUUGAUUGUAAGUAAGUGGCAAGAAAAUGGACCGAGGAUGCUUGAAAGGGCUAGCUGUGGUGGCCAAGAGAUCGAAGUCUGGCUCAUAGAAACUGAAAAUCAAAUUUUCCAAAAAUGUGGGUGGUCCCUGUGGAGAUAACAGACGUACCUUUGUGGAUGAGGUUGUUCUGUUUAUAAAGUAGAAGGCUCCAUUAAUUGGAGUUAGAAAUUGGAAAGAUGUGUGUCAGCAUGUCAAGGAUGAUAUCGUAGAAUCUGUAAUGGUAUGUCAAUGGCCACCUCAUCCUUCAUUAUAAUGUUACAUAUUAGUCUUGUUCCCUCUAUUUUCUUGGAAACAUAUAUUUUGAAUGUAGCAUACAUAACAAGUUUUCUUUCCCACUAGGAUCAUUGGGACCUUGAGACCACUGAGAGUCCGAACAAAAAGAUAUGGAAGGUUGCCAAUGAACGCUACAAAAGUUGGCGAUCUGUUUUGCAUUCUACAUACAAGGCAUACAACAAUUAUGAUGAGAGAAGGAGACAUAAGCCUGAAGACAUAGACAUUGUGAAGUGGCACUAUUUGAACAUGUACUUUGGAACUAAGGACUUCAAGGUACGCCCUCUUUUGUAAGUAAAAGAACACAAUCAUGAGUUCAACUUUUCAUCGCUAACCAUUACUUUACGGGAUGACUGUGUAGAGUAGGAGCAGCAUGAACUCUUUGAAUCGUAGCCAACUGAGAACAAAUCACUCGGGGGGUUCCAAACCUUUCUCGUAGUGGAGUUGGGAAAAGGUAAAGAUUUGUUUACUUAUUCUCAACUUUCAGUACAUUACACAAUGAUAUAUUAAUAGCGUUUAAUGUUGUAAUCAUAGAGAGAUCCAGUAACUGGCGAUGAGCCACCCCUUUUGGAACUUUGGAAGACUACUCAUACUAGGGAAGAAAGAUGGACAAAUCACCUAGCUGAAAGUAUUUAUGUGUGUACUGAGUGCUAAUUUGAUCAUAACAUUGAUUCGGCAUUACAAGCUAUUUUUUGGUAUGAAAACAUGACCAAAUUAAUGUUACAAUUAAUUGUUUCUUGCCAUCAGACAUGUACAUCUAGAAAAUUAUCUCAACACAAUCAGAUGAAGAAGACCAACAAGUCAUACUUCUGGACUUGCUAAGGAAGACCAAGUUUUCUAGGAAACGUACAGGGAAACAACAGGAGCCAAAUAUAGAAGGUCACGUGGCCAUGGUUACUUGUCGAAUCCAAAACGAAAGCAAGAAGCCCUUCAGGAGAGAAUGAUUCAGGAGAGAAUAGAGAGGCCCGAAGAACAAGAAUGUCAGUUACAGGAAAAAAUGCAAAAGCAUGAAGCUAAAAAGGAAGCAGAGAUAGAACAACUUAAAGUUGCACUUAGCCAAGAAUUGAUGGGGGAAGUUGCUAGAAUGAUCGCGCCUUAUCGUCAGGCUUUACUGCAAGAGGUAACCAGAAUAUAAUUUGUGCAUGUUGAUUUAUAUUGUGUUCUAAAUUUUCAUAAUGUCACUAAUGUCUAGCCUCCCCUCUUUUAAAAUCCGCAGCGUACCCCAGCAAACAACAAUAAUACAACUGAAGUUGAUGCUAGGACCACCGAGGAUAACAUUGAUGCAAGGCCAGUACUGGACAGCCAAGAAAUAAGGAACCAUGUAUCGACAAUAAUUGGUUGUGAUUGAAAAUAUAUAUACAUAUGUCGCUAAUCUCUUGCCUACCCGCUUUUAAAUUGUGCAGCAUACCCCUCAAACCAACAAUAAAACAACUGAUGAUGAAGCUGGGAGCACUGAGGAAAACCUUGCUGCAACACAAGUAGUGCAUAGUCAAGAAACAUCAAACCAGGUAACAAUAUCGAACAAGCAUUCCAAUCAUGAUGGUUUUUUGCAUUAAAUUUCAGCUAAAAUUGUUCCAAAAACUUUAUUAUGAUCCAGAAUGCUCCAAGAACGAUUGUCACAACUGAAAAAAGCACUUUGGCACCAACCAGAAAUGCUAAAACUGCCAACGUUGCAAAGAGUCUGUUCAAUGAGAAUCACGGUAAAGGUGUAGGAGCUGUUGCAGGAUCCAGAUUCAUUAGUACACAUCAGCUUAUAUCUGGUGCUAAAACUCGAGCAGGCAAAAAGAAAGUACAACAAGUACAAACUGGAAGUGUGCUUUCAAUAUUGCUGCAUAUUGAUUCCAAGACAAAGUAGCUUCAUAAGUUUUAAUUCACUUGUUUGUUUCUCUUUGCUUCAGCAGGCUAGUGAAGCUACGGAGGGGCAAUAAGACUCAAGGUUGCCUACAGGUUACAAGCAGAACUUCAAGCAAAGUUGAUCAUCAUGAAUGCUGGGAGUGAUCAAGAUUAUAGAUGUGUACGAAUAAUAUAGGUGUUCUACAUACUUUAUUAUUGGGAGUCAUGUGGAUGAAUGGACAAGAAUAUUUUCCGUUGUAUUAAAAAAUAUGACGACGACAUAUUUCCCGUUGCAAUAUCCAUUGAGCGUAUAACCACGACCCGUAUUGUGUUGCACUAUCCUGUACGCAUAUAACCACGACAUAUUUUGAUGCGAUAUGGUUGAUGCAUAUAACGACGGCACAUACCUCGUUGUGAUACCUCGUGAGCAUAUUACAACGCUUUCUCAUCAUUGCGAUAUCCAUUGAGCGUAUAACCAUGACCCGUAUUGUGUUGCAAUAUCCUGUAUGCAUAUAACCAUGAUAUAUUUUGUUGCGAUAUGGUUGAAGCAUAUAACGACAGCACAUACCUCGUUGCGAUACCUUGUAAGCAUAUUACAAUGCUUUCUCGUCGUUGCGAUAUAAUUUAAGCAUAUAACGAUGACCCAUAUUUCGUUGCGAUACCCUUUAAGCAUGUUGCAAUGCCAUAUUUUGUUGGAAUAUGGUUGACGCAUAUAGCCAUGACUAGUAUUUCGUUGAGAUAUCCUCUUAGCAUAUUGCAAUAGGAUAAGUCUUGUAUUGCAACAACAUUCUUGUGUUGCAUUAACGCUUGUUUGCAACAGCGCAAUGUCAUUGCAACAGCCACUAUAGCAACGACGCCUGCCGUUGCAAUUAACAAAAUUGCAACGACAAUGGACGUUGUAAUAUCCACUUAUUACUACGACACACAUCGUUGCAACAACUCACCCUUAUGCCCAAGGCUUCCUGUGUCAUUGUAAUACCCUAUUACAACGCAAGUUUACGCAACGACAUGAAUUUUAAGGCAACGACACAAAAUUAUCGCAAUAGCUCGCUAUUGCAAUGAAAUGACCCCUAUUGCAAUGAUUUCGUGCUGUGGUGCUAGUGACAAGACCUUGUAGUGAAUGAUUUGGCUGCUAGCGUCACUUGACCUACCCAACUCCCUCCGGGUUGGACGGUUGAGUGGGAUUCCUCCUCAGACGGCGAGGAUAGGGGUCAUUGAUGUCAUGAUCGGCUUCGUCAUGAUAUCGUGUAUCGACGUUUAGUUUCCGCAUGUUUUACUUCUUUGUUGUUUGAAACCGUGCAAACUCUGAUCUAAUAAAUUAUUGAUCUUUCUAUAAUAUGAACGGAAUGUUUUAAUCUCUGUAAGCACUAACCUUUGUGUGAGCAAUGCUUAUCGAUCCUGUAUAUGUGGUUUAUCAGAGGAAAUCCAACGGUCGACUAAGUUGACUUGUUUAAGGUGCUUGAUCGCGUGUUAGGUGACUUAAGUGCACUUUAGCCAGGUUAAUUUUAGGCCAUUCCGCCACAACAUGGAUACUUUUUCCUCUUGGUUGCAUCAACACCUUAUAGGUAACUCUGAGAUUCACCCACAGCUCGCUUGGUUAGCUAAGGGACCUUCUAGCAGAAUCGUGAAAUUCCAAGGCUACAAGAUAAAUGAUUAUACAUUUUACACGAGAGCCCAAGACCAAAAAAGCACGAACCAAAAUAGUGGUGUCCGCAUAGAUGUCAUUCACAGCACCGGUAGCAAGGACUCCUAUUAUGGUUUCAUAGAGGAGAUAUGGGAACUCGAAUACAGACCGCUGAACAUCCCUCUGUUUUGUUGCUAAUGGGUGAAGCUAACUGGCGUAACCAAAGAUCAGCAUGGAAUGACAAUAGUGGACCUGACCAAGACUGGAUACAAUGAUGAACCAUUCAUACUUGCCAAUGAUGUGCAUCAAAUUUUCUAUGUGAAGGACAUGUCUAGCAAACCAAAAAAAAUUCAGAAGAGCCAUGGAAGCCAAAGCGCCACAUAGUGCUUCUAGGUAAGAGAAAAAUCAUGGGAGUCAAAGAACAAAAUAGAGCAAUCAGAUCAUUAUGAUUAGUUUGAUGGCAUGCCUCCAUUCUCUAUUGAAGUUGACCCAAGCAUCAUGCCAAAGAAGAGGCUCCGUACUUACGCCAUGAUCAUGACCAAGGAACUUUCAUGAAGAAGUUUCUUAACGUUACAUUGUAAUGCACUAAAUAUGCUUCACCUUUAUGUAAAGUUACAUUGUAAAGUUCUAUGAUUUCAUGUACUACUUGAUACAAUUUUUAAUUUAAUGUAUCUAUGAUUUCAUGUGUGUUUAAAUUAGGUGAGGUGAAGAAUUAUUCAAGAUAUGUUUUUUGAUAUAUUUUUGCAUGUUUGAAAAAUAUAAAGUUUUUAUGUUUUUCUAUAACAAAGCCAGUUCAAAACAUAUAUUAAUUUGUAUGUUUAAAUUAGUUGAGGUAAAGAUUUAUUCGAUCAAUAUGAACAAUGUUAACCACAUACAUCAAUUGAAUUUUUCACACGUUGAAAUUAUUUAAUUGAAUAAUUUCUUGAUGAUAGUGAUGUAGUAAAAUAAUUAUUUUAUAAACUAAAAGAACUAGUAUAGAAUUAAUGACUCAUUCAAACUUAUUGUUAAUAUACUUGCUAAUUUAAUAUAGUUUUGCAUGUUCCAAAUAUAUAAAGUUCUUAUUUUUUCCUUCCUAAAAUCCAGUGAAAACAUAUAUAAAAUCUAUUUGCAAAAAACAGGCGAGAACUGAAAAAUGGAAAACGAAUCUUUUGUCCUAGAUGCAAAUUGCAUCUAGGACAAAAUGUCCCCCCUUUAGGCCCGGUUGCAAUUUGCAACUAGGAUAAAAGGGUAAUUUUCGCCUCCCACGCGAACGUACCCUUUUGUCCUGGUUGUAAAUUGCAACCGGGACUAAAGGGGGGGCCUUUUGUCCGGUUGCAAUUGGCACCCAGGACAAAAGGACCCUUUAGUCCAGGUUGCAAUUUGCAACCGGGAUAAAAAGGGUCGUAAAAGUAACAUUCAUCUUCUCCCCCCUCCACCCUUCAACACUUAGCGAAAUUUUCACCACUCUCCAAGAUCUACCGCGCCCGUCCGCCUCUGAUGCCGCCAGUCUCUCAUCCCCGCCCGUCCGCCUCCAUCGCCGGCCGCCGUGCUACUCAUCACCCGCCUCCAUCCCACCGUCGCCCAGCGCCUCGGCCGCUGUCGCCUGCGCCACGACUGCCGCCUCCUCCAUCGCCCGACCCGCCACCGCCUCCUCCGUCGCACCCUCUCGUCGCCGCCGCCUCCGGUGCGCCCCCUCAUUGUCACCUCCCUCUGCGCCGCCUCUGUGGUGAAACCGCCCAACUUAAGCUGGUUUAAGUGCACCUAAUCGCUGUCGGGACAACAAUUAUUCGAAACACACCUAAAACAGCAUAAGUCCAGUAGUCCGUCGAGUGUCCCUAGGACUCCUCGAAAGAUCCACGACGUGUCUCAUAGCCAUACACCAGGAUCGCUUCCUCGAUGGGAAGGCAUCAACAAACAUUACAUUUUUACAUACAUACCGGGGUACGAAUUAUUACAUACCAUAGUUUGAAACAAACUUCAUAGUGCAGGUUAGCGCGGUUCUAAGAGUUCAAAACAUGAACCAGUCUAGGUGAAAGAUAAACAUUUAAGUUUUAUUUCUAGGGUAUUUCGAGACUCGUAAAAUACCCUAGUUCUUCGGAGCUUCUUCCUCAGCGGACUCCUGUUGUGGCUCUGAAAUAGCAACGAGGGAUAACCCUGAGUAUAGGGUACUCAGCAAGACUAACCCGACUAACCAAUAUAAUAGCUUUUCUGGAAUUGCAUGAAAGCCUUUCAGUGUACUGGCUGACUCAUAGUUUUGCCAAAAGAGCUUACUAAAGUGAAACCUUAACUUUGUCUUUUACUUCAAUUGAGUUAUUACCUAUCCAAUCUAGAUAAUGAAAAAGAAAUACUUUUGCAAACAGUAGGAAAUUAAGUCAUACAACAAAUUAAUUGGAAAGACAUUGCAUUCAUGAGAUUACACUACGAUGCUUAACAGCGAUCUAGUGCAUUCAUAACCGAGAAUUGUGGCGAUCCGGAUCAAUUACAUCCUGUAGGAGAGCACCCUGAUCACCAGCUAUGUACAACUGUCCGGGUCGUACAUAACGACCUUUCGAUUAGCAUACCCAAAGAUUGGGAAUAAGACUACCCGAACCCAGGGAUGCACCCCCACAUGGGACCCCCUGUCUGGCCCGAUCUCCAUGUGAGUUUUUAGGCUAUGCCCCUGCCAAUCUCCAGCACGUCAAGCACGGGUACGAAAUAUUCCGGAUCAGAGAGUUUACUAAACUACCGGGCUUUACUGGUCCCAUACCCAGUAAGCAACCAGGUGACAUUCACUUGAUCAAAGGUUAAGACAACGAUCGGGCCUUAACCAAAUUAAUCUAGCAGACAGAACUAACAUCUCUAGCUUCUAUCGGAUUUCCAAAUUUCCAAGCUAACUUUCCAUAUCUAGCAUGUAUGACCCAACAAUUUACCUUAAGGUUCGGUAACCAAGUUACUUUCAGUAUCUAAGCAUUGCUAAAGCAUGGGUUAAUUACUAAUUAUUGAACAAGUGGCAAAGAUGUCCUUAAAACAAGGCAGGAUCAUGCACAAGAAUAGGUUUCAAUCAACUCCUAGACUUAAUGCAUUGAUAAAAGAAAUAACCAAUAAUUGAACACAUGAAAUAAUAACUCCAAAACAGAUAGGUAUAGAUGCACCGGGGUUUGCCUGGGAUCAACAAAUGUUAGUUCUUCGGAAAACCCCUUUAGUAAAAGAGGCACUUCAACAUUUCUCGGACUCUGUCAAUCUUCAGAUGAAUUCCACGAAUUCCACUUCAGAAGCUUCGAUGUCUAUGAUUUAGUACAUGCAGGAGUUAGAGACGCAAACUUUUGAAUACAUGACUAUACAACUUUCCUUCAUGAUAAAGUUGCAAGCCAACAAGUGACUAUACAACCUAUCUUCACAAUAAAGUUGCAAGCCAACACUAAUCUACCCAUAACAUCUAACCCACGAUUUUUUAAUCUCUUAACUAACCUGCCUUAAGCCCUUUCUUUUAUUUUAGAAAAGCAUUACAAAUAUUUUCUAAUCUCAAAAGUUAUUUCCUAUGAUUUAAUAAUAAUUUGUGAAUAAGAAAACAUUAUUCAAUAUUUUAUGCAUUUAAUAAAGGUUAAGCAUUUAUUUAAAUACCUUAAUGAAAAGGCAUUAAAUAAAUACCUAAAUUUUAUUAUUUUUCCUAGGGUAUAAAAAUUUGAAUGCAUAAAGGAAAAUAAAAUAAUCCUAACAAAAUUGGUCUCACUAAUUUUGGACACUCCUAGAAAUUUCUGUGAUUUAAACGGUGUAAACCGAAUUUUAAUGUUCUUUAUCUAUAAAAGGAAAACCUAAUGUUUAUCCAAAUAACCCCGGCCUAACCUUUCUCACUCGUACUAGGCCCGUUAAGCUGGCCCACCUACUCCCGGUCUCUACCUUAUUCUACUCGCCGGCCCAACGAGCGCCCAAACUCUAACGAGCCUCCUUACGACCGGCCUGCUCUCCGCACAGGCCAACAGCCCAACUUCCUCCUCCCUACCCAUGCCUGACGCAAGGGCCUUUUUUUUUUGGGGCCAGCCCACCCCGUUUCUUUCCCCCUUCACUUCCACCUGGGCCUCCAACCGACAAGCCCCUCUCCUCCUCUCAACUCCCCUGGCGCAUAGGCCAGAACAGGGGCGCGACAGGCAGGGGGCGGGGCUCGCCGACGGUGCCUCCCCGGCGGCGUGGCCGGGCUGGGGGCAUCCUGAAACCGGGGCGCACCCACGGGCGGUGGCGGCCCUCCAGGAGGCGGCCUGUGCCGAGCCCUCCACGGUGGCGGCGGCAAAGGCCGGCUGCCGGCCGGCGCAAAGCCCGACGGUGGCGCAAAAACGGCCUUCGGUGCCCCCCCCUAUGGACCCUAUUCGACUCAGCAAGCUCUGCAACCCAAGGAAUCGAGCAAAAGGGGCAUCACAGAGAGGCUCACCAAAGAACUAUGGUGGCGGCUGGCGGAUUAAAAUGGUGGCGAUUCGGAGCUUUGACGAUGAGGAAACAGAAAUCGGAGGGGCGUGGGCGUUGCGGUGGGGCUAGCGAAGCGUCUGGCGGGCGGAUUCGCGAAGAGAAGUGACGGAGCGAGGGUGUUGGCCAGCGGCGGCGUUGCUUUCCCGAGCUUUGGCUCGCAUGGCAGUAGAAAUGGCAAAGGGUUAAAUGGGAUGAGGGUGAGGUGGUAAAGAUACAUAACUUUUACCGUGCAUGUGUGCCACCUCGAUGACCUGCAGGCCUGCGUGGGCGCGGACGUGGUUGUUGCGCUGGUCGACGAGCAGAGGUGCCGGCGGCGGCACGGCUCUGUCCCCUAUUUCUUCUUUCUCUUCUUCGAAAUUCAGACCUCCACAUCGACCAAUUUCAAAUCCAAUCUCUCGAAGAUCCCUUCAGCAGUCUUGUAGAGUAAUCCAUGUACUUCAAUUGAUAGAUUGGCCGCUACCUGAAAUGAGCACCCUAACACCGAGAUUUUGAAGCUCAAAGUUUGACCAGAACCUUCUGUAACUGAACCUCGGUCAUUCAGUCUCGUCAAGGUCCAAAAUAGCAACUUCUUCCCUACUUUGAGCUCAAUUUAAAUUGCUUAAACUCCUUCCAUACAGCUUGAACCUUGCCUAUCCUUGUUCUACUACUGUUGGUGCUAGAAAUCGGCUGAUCGAAUUCCCAGCGUCGGACACACGACCCGGGAGAAUCUGCUUAGCUCCUGUUCGAGUGAUCACCCUGGUGCGGUUCGUGCAGCGUGCCAGCCAAUCUGACCUGUUGAUUGGCAAGGAAAGAAACGUGUCAGAUCCCAGAGGUUGCGAUCGGCUAAGGUUCCGAUCUCGAGAUAGCUUAUCAGUGAAUCGGCCGAUUUGCUGUAAUAAGGAAAUCGGCUAUAAUGCAGCCGAUUACCGGGCAGCGUUAAUAAAGAAGACUGCUGGAGUAAUCUAAACAAUGCUUAUAGUAACAACACUAGGAAUAGAUCUAAAUCGGCUAUGCGUAAAAUAAUAGAUUGAAUAACAAGGCACAGGAAAGCCGAAAGUUCCAAUUCCUAGCUGGAUAACUGGUGAUAAAACUAGAACUACAGGUAAAACCUAGAAUUCUAGUGGAUAUCGAUAACUGGUGAAUAAAUCUAAAUGAAACGACAGCGAUGCGCCCGAAGUUAAAGCUUAGAUAUUACUCGGUAAACGAAACUUACAGAAUCAGCCGGAGGUCAAGUUGAUGCAGCCUAGCCAACUCGUAUGAACUCGUGAAAAAGAAGAAAAGUAUUGGCGAAAUCGCCUGCUUGAAAGUAAGUGUGAGGAAAUAGUAGUUUGUUGUAUUGAUUUGAUGAUGAUUACAGAUCUACAAGGGUGGCUAUUUAUAGCCUGUUACAAAUGACUUCUUAACCGACUAGAACUCUAUCUCUAAUUUUAAACAAAAAAUGAAUAUUUACAAGUACGACUCGUACUGGGUCAAUCAUCAUGCUGUCAUGGGCUGACUCCCUUUUUACCUUCAUAAUCCACUUCAAGCCCACACCGGCCCAAUUCCUCCAGCCUCCUAAUCGGCCGAUUUCUACCAACUCCAUCGGCAAGGGACAGCCGAUUACGGCCCACAUGUCGGGGGUUCUGACUACUCCGACCCUGGGACCUAAGGUCGGGCGAGGUGGAGUCCCUCCCUUAGAGGGUCGGGCGCAUCCGACCCCAGGACUCAGGGGUCGGGCGAGGCGGAGUUGCACCCUUAAAGGGCAAUUGGCCAAUCCUUGACUGUAGCACCAAUCGGCCGAUUUCCAACCGUGACCUCUGUGUCUUGCCGCAUCUCCUGAGUUCUUCCUUUCCUGACGCCGAUUUCAUACGUGUCAAAAUAUGGCGUCAACAACUACUAACAAAGAUUCCAUUUUGCGCAUGAACUCAUAUACCUUUUACAUUGGAUUUUUCUUAAAUUUGCUCCAAACAUUGCUAAUCAAUGCCGUUUUUCAGACAACAUUAUUUCGGCAAGAAGCCUGAAAUCUGUGCAUUUGCUGAAUUUUGGGCUUCGCUUUAAAUUCGAACCUUCCACUUUCUCUGGCCAACAACAUUUCAUUUACCUUCUCUAUAGUCCAUAUUUCACUAAUGUCCAAAAACAUCUGCUCACUUACAAGAACAAUUCUCCAGAAAUUGGCUCCAAAGUUGUGUACUCAAUAUUAAUUUCAGAGUUACGCGUUUUCGGAUGACUAAGUGACUUUGUUGAUUCCAUAUUCGAUUGUAUUUAUGAGAGCUUUAUAACUUGAUUUAGACUUCAGAUUCAUUCCUUUGAGUUCUGAAUACUCUCAAGACUCUAUUUCCUAUUUUUGCCAAAUUUAUCCAAAUUUGAAACUCCAAAUUGCAAAUUUGGUUGAACUCGGCUCAAAUUCGAUUUUGGCUCAAAUUACCUUCCUUUAAUCCAACUUCACCAUUAGCUUCUUAAUGUGAUACUUAAGUUGUCAUUAACACUGGGUGUUACAGCCUCCUUGUCGCCCACCUCCGUCCCCGCCGCCUCCGUGCCCGCCAUCGCCCGCCGCUCUAGCCGCCGUUGCCUGCCGCCCUGGCCUACCGCCACCUCCUCCGUCGCGCCCCCUCAUUGCCACCUCCCUCUGCGCUGCCUCCUCAUCGCCGCCUCUCCAUCGCCACCUCCGUCGUCUGUGCCAGCUCCGACCCCGCUGCCACCGGCAUGCGCCGCCCCGACCUCCUCGUCUUCUGCAUUGCCACUCCAUCGCCCCGUCCGCCGUAGCUCGCCGCCAAGCCUCUGCCACCUGCCACCCCGGUGACGUGCGGCGCCACCCCCAUCGCGACCCCCGGCCCUCUCCACACGUACAAUGGGGCCCUUGCUGACGCUAGGGCCCUUUUUUAUUUUUUUAGUUAGAAAAUCAGUAUGAUUAGUACAAAAUCAGUAGGAAAUUACUAUUAUUAGAUGAAAAUCAGUAGGAAAUUACAAUAAUUUAGUUCAGAUGCUUAGUAUAAUUUUGUAUACAUUUUGUAUAACUUUGAGAAAUUACUACCUUUUAUUAUAAAUGAUUCGAAAAUUAGUAGAAAUUUGUAGCAAUGCUUAAGAUUUAUUCAGGAUAAGUUCUUAGUAUGAUUUUGUACACAUUUAGUAUAAUUUUUAGUACAUUAAUAUUAUUUAGUACAAAUGCUUCAAAAAUUAGUAAAAAUUAGUAGAAAUUUGGUAGAAAUUCUUAGAAAUCAGUAGAAGUUUGUAGAAAUUUGGUAGACAUUCUUAGAAAUCAUUAGAAAUUUGUAGAUACACUUCAAAUUUGGUACAAAUUCUUAGAAAUUAGUAGAAAUUUGAAGAAACACUUCAAAUUUGGUAGAAUUGCUUAAAAUUAGUAGGAAUUAGUAGAAAUUUGGUAGAAAUUCUUAGAAAUUAGUAGAAACACUUCAUGUAGGAUUCGUUCAAGACAUUUCAUGUAAGUUUCAUUCAAGACUUUCAUGUAACUUUCUUGUAAGUUUUCAUGUAAGUUUCAUUAAAGACAUUUCAUGUAUGUUUCAUUCAAGAUAUUCAUGUAAAUUUCUUGUAGGUUUUCAUGUAAGUUUCAUUAAAGACAUUUUAUGUAAGUUUCAUUCAAGACAUUCAUGUAAAUUUCUUGUAAGUUUCAUGUAAGUUUCAUUUCGUGUAUGGUUUCAUGUGUAGAUUUCAAUCAGUUUGUUUUUUUUUCAUGGUUGUUCUAUGAUUUCAUGUAUAUACCUUAACGUACAUGUAACUAUGAUUUCAUGUGUGUUUAACGUAGUUGAGAUGGCAGACGACAAGACCGCAAGCUAUCUAAUGGAGCAGAUUAUUGCUGAUGGUAGUGGCUCCAACCUUCCCGUAACGUACAUCGAUAAAGAGGGUACCUAGGCGAACAUGUUCCUCAACAUGUCUAGCGAUGGCAAUGAAGAGCCUCAGCCCUAGCAAAACCUUAUCGUGAUGGAAGGUUCCAGCGAGGUAUAUAUCAUUUCCAUUGUUUUACCCCAUCUAUAAUGUCUUAUUCAUUAUUAUUAUAUACUAAUUAACGAAUCUUGAACUGUUAGCCCUCUGGAUCGAUGAACCGUCAUAAGCCCCGAGGCCGUACAAAGGUGAUGGAUGGAGGGCUUAUCAUCAUGGAAGUCACAGAAGAGGGCAAGCCGGUUGCUCCCGAAAACAUGGCAAAAAAGUACGUGAGCCAGAUCGAGGCAAUCGUAAGGGACAACGUGCCCAUCAACAUCAUGGAAUGGAGGGGUGAAAGUACUAAUGCAUACGCGCUCUCGGAUACAGAAAAGGAAAUGUUGUGGUUAGAUGUUAAGAAACAUUUCACAUUUUCCCGAAGGAUGUAAUGAAGAUUAUGUGAAAUCGUGGAUGCUGAAGAAGAUGGCCACACAAGAAGGGCUGAUGUCCACAAUUCAAUGAGUGGUGAGGGACCACUGGGAGUCAUUUGUUGAAUACAAGACGAGCGAAACGGUGCGAACAAGGUUCGCACCAACUUUGUAAAUGCUGGCAAGAAGGAGUACCAUCAUUGUCUAGGGCGAGGUGGUUACAACACUACAAUUUCUAGAUGGCGCAAGAUGGAACAAGACCUGAUUGAUUGGGGUAUCCUACCAGCAACUCUUGAAUAUCCUGAUCGAUCGAAAAAUUGGUAUUACGCUCAUGGAGGCAACAUGAGCCAAGAGGAUGGGACACUGAUCUUCAAUGAGACAAUAUGUCAGAAGGCCAAAAGGCUUAUCAAGAACAUUGAAGAUGACACGGCUGGGAGUUGAAGGUGGACCGAGAGAAUAAUGAGCUAACAUUGGCCCAAGAAUCCCGAGCACCUAGGAUAUUGCCGAGGGUACGGGGUCAUUCUGUGGAAGUUCGCUUUUCGAGGCGACAUGUACUCAUACAGAAGCCGCAAGCGAAGAAAGGAAUAGCAAGAGGAGAGCUGGCGGCGCAUGUUAGAAUCCAAAGUGCAUUCACAUGAAGUAAGAAUGCAGGAGGAAAUCAAUCAUCGAGUGGCCCUAGCAGUUGCGAAGUUGGCCCAAUCUAGAGCACUACCGGAUCCAAACGUUAGAUGAGCAACGGUUCUUUGUGGCUGUGAUCACGCAACGCACCUCAUGUGAAUGGCAUAAACUGGUCGGCAACGUCACCAUUAAGGUAUACUUAUACAUAAUAAUUAUGCAAUCUUCUCAAUCCAUCCACGCCUCGGGAGUUUAAUAACUUCUUUAUUUCUACUAUAUGUACAAGUGGCAUACGAGAGUGCCUUACCAAUCCUGCCAGGGUAGACAAGCGAUGCCAUGGAGGUUCUACCUGGCUACGCUAGCGUCAGCCUAGAGCUGCUCGUUGAUAGCCAAUAUGAAGGCCUAGAGCUCGACCUCCCGGGAGGCGAUAGGGAAAGGACACUAGGAGAUGCGCUUCACGGGAUCAUUCUAUGGUGCAAAUGUUACAUCAUCAUCCCCGGCAUGGAGGCAUCAUUGCUCCCCGUAGAUCCCCAGCAGCGACCAUCUCCUCAAAGCUCAAGAUCGUCAUCUCCAACACGGCCUUCUCCAGGACCGUCAUCUCCACCACAACUUGCUCCAGAACCAUCAUCUCCAGCACAACCAGCUCCAGGACUGUCGUCACCACCGGGACCGUCUCUUCCUGCUCGAUCACGGUCUCCAUCUCCAGCACAUCCUAGUGGUGCGAGCGACGAUGACAAUAACACCCCUUCCCAAUCACCAUCUCCAGGACUAAGAGCUGCAUCGAGCAAGGAACCUGUAGCAACACUUAAGAAGUCGCAACCACCGCCUCCCAAGCCAAGACAGAGAAAGAAGAAAACAAACGAGCCUGAAUUGACUCCUGACAAAUGUAGGGAGGAGAAAAUGCAUGAGGAUUGCUGGCCCAAACCAAAGCAGAAUGCAGGGAGCGGUUCAAGAAAAUGGCCGAAGAAAGAAAAGCAAAGGCGAUGGAGCCACCGCCAGUAGAUUGAAGACAAUUAAAUUUUUUUAUAAAGAUGUCAGAAGAAGCCAAGAAGAUGCUGCCACCUUAAACUACGAUCGGGUGUUAGUCAAGGCUGAUGAGAGGAAAAAAUGGAAAGGAAAGUCGUCUUCAAGGGGUACUAUCCUCCACCUUAGACAUCUACCGAAAAAGACUCUCAAAAGAAAGCAUCAAUGCUAGCAAUGCCCUUGGAUCAAUAAGACCAAGUAGUGAAAUUCAUACAAGAAACAGGAAUGUCCUUUUCUGAAUGUCUAGGGCAAAGUGAGCCACCAGCUGCAUAGCCAGUUGAACCGAAAUGGACCUUUUGAGCUAGGCAAGUCUCUGGUAAGGCCUGAGUUGAUAUGGAAACUAUCAACAAAGAUGUACAAAUUCCAUGAAUGGUACAUCAAGCAGUCCAUCGUUGACAGGGAAAUAUUCGACCUUAAGGUCAAACCAAUAGCCUGGUUGACGUCUCUCUCAUCAGCGCUUGGGCUCUGCAAGUGUUCGUUUAUCUAUGUGUAAAUUUUGGCUCAUAUCAUUAUUUUUUGUGCAUGCAUCGCCCUGCUAACUUCGUCUUCCAUUUUAUGUAGGAUGCUAAUUCAGAUGUGCUGACGAGAAGUGUACUUCCAUGUUGGCUUCAUGGAUCCAUCCCUAGUUAACCAACACAAGAUAUGGGAUUUUCCAGAGAAAACGUUGAUGGAAGUAUACAAUUUCCUGGACAAACAAAAUUACAGCAAGGAAUACAUCCUACUUCUAUACAACUUCAAGUAAGUGUGUGUAUACCAUCUAUUUUUAUUUUCUUUUUCCUUACCUGAUUAAUGUUAGUUAGCUCUAAUAUGAACAAUUACGUACGCAGUUUCCACUGGAUCCUCCUAAUAAUUGAGCCUGAUAGAAGCCACAUCACUGUCUUCGAUUCAUUGAGGAAACCACCGAAGGAGUACCAAGAUGUUCAAGACAUGCUAAACUUAAUAAUUCUGGACUUUAUCUCUGUGCAAAAGUUUGUUUCCUAAAUUUUCACCUAACACUGUAUCAUUCAUUAACACAAAGGUCCAUUCAAAGAAAAACUUACAUGGAACACAAACUUCCUGGCAUGUAUGAAGUUUGCAUAUUUUGUACAUUAUAUAGCAUGAAUAUUUCAUAACUUGUUUUUCCCCACUGUAGUGCUUAAGACAGGAACUCAAAAAUAAUCUAUGUGGCUACUAUGUCUGUGAGCACAUGCAUAGUUUUUUGGGACACAAGGUACUAAAGAUGACGCCGCACAACUAUAACGUACGUAAAAGAAAACUAUUAAUAGUUAAAUAUUUUCUAGCUCCUUAUAUUUAAUUGUUCGUGUAACAUUCACAUAUUUCCAGAUUACAGAUGCAUAAUAUUCAACAAAAACUCUUGGAGAAGGAAAGAAUAAUGGCAAUAUAUGAAGGUCUCAUGGGAUUCCUGGUGGACGAGGGGGUACAUCAACAAGGAGAAUUUUAUUACAAUGGACGAAAAUUAGACGCACUGAGCAACACCACGACGGGAAGAUCCAAGGAAUGACUGAGGCAAAUUUUUGUAUAUAUAUAUAUACUAAUUGUAUAAAUACUAUGCUAAGAUUUGUAUAGUAUGCUAAGAAUUGUAUAUAUACUAAGAAUUGUAUAUAUAGUAAUUGUAUAAAUACUAGUUUGAUUUCAUAAUAAAAAAAGUCUUAACUAAACUAAAGGGUACGUGAUGCAUGAAAUUACAGGUGCCUGCCUGCAUGGCGCCUGUAAUUUCAUGCAUGCACUUUAGUCCCGGUAGAAAAAACCAACCGGGACUAAAGGGAGCACCCUUUACUCCCGGUUGGUAAAACCAAUGAGGACUAAAGGGGCCUGUCCCGCGCCUGGCGUGGCAGCCCCUUUAGUCCUGGUUGGUUUUACCAACCAGGAUUAAAGGGUGUCUUUAGUCCCAGUUGAGUGACCCGAGACUAAAGACCCCCCAUUCGUCUUGAUUGCUUUAUCCCGGAUGGAUUUUCGGGAAAUUUUAUCCCUACCAACCAGGACUAAAGGUGAGUUUUCUACCGGUGCCUGUUCUAUCUCACUCAUUUGUCCUGUAGCUACAAGCUAAGGCCCCAUGUCAUCUAUGGCUUCUGUCCUGUAGCUACUAGCUAAGCCCCCGUAUCAUCCAUGGCUUCUGGUGCCUCCACCACACUGAAGAUGGCCUCUAUCGCCCCUUGCAUCCUGCUGGUCCUGCUGUCCAAUGGCCACCCUACGAUGGUGGCCGUUGAUUGUGUUGCGGUUUGCAAAGACCCGUGCCAGAGCUUUUCUAACGGGUUCUGCGCGGGUGGAGCCACUGGCGGUUGCACAACUACGGCAGCAGCUACAGCAUGCCGCAAUUUGGCGUUCUCGCAGUGUGCGAACAACUGCUUCAUAGUUUGCACUGCCGAGAUCAUCACGCCUUGCACUUGAAGAUGCAUUUGUGUUCCUACUUCCAUGUUAUUGUUACUGCAGAAUAAUAUGGAUAAAUACGUGCAAGCAGGCCUGCCGUCCGCGGGAGGAGGUACGCAAGCACGCAUGAUGAGCCACUGUUGUUUUUCCAUUUUAUCAUUUACUUAUUGAAGGCAAUGUACGUGCCUAUCUCCUGUGUGGUUGAGCAUGUCAUGUUGGAAUUCUGUCCAAAGUUUUACAUACCAUCUUGUAUUGUUGUGUAUGCGUAUCAAUAUAAUUUAUGAACUAUUUU
rnacentral:lncRNA from 1 species